rnacentral:lncRNA from 1 species
UUAAUUUAGUACUAAGUCUCUUUAUAUAUGGCAUUUCACAUAAUAAUUUUUACUAUUUCUUUUGAAGUUGAGAGGUAGAUAAAGACUCAACUCUUUGCAGAUAAGUCUAUAGUCCACUCUCUCUGUGUAACAUCAUCUGCCUCAACUGGCUCAUGAUUUCAAGAAAAUAAAUAAAUAUAAUAUAUCUUGUGAUCUGCUACUUGCAUUCAGUGCCUCAAUAAUAUCUUCUUCUUUUUUUUCUUUCUAUUUAUAGUAAGACCAUAAAAAGUGAAGGUUAGUGGGGUUGAAGAAUGGAGAUAGUAGAUUGGAAAUGGGAGCAAAAUGAGAUGGAAGUUGAAGAAGGAGAAGGGGGUCUUCAAGUAAGAAGCUCUAAGGUUACUAAAGAAGUGACAAAUGGGAAAAUUGAGACAAAUGGGCAUGGAAAUUCUACCCUAAAGAUGACUAAUGGAACAGAAAAAUCUGUUCUUGGUGAUGAACAAGAAAGGUCAGAGGAGGAGAAGCUUUCAGAUUCCAUUAAUGGGGUUGAAGAUGAAGAGGGAACUGAGCCAAAAGAUAAGUUAUUUGAACAUAUUGUAGUUUCAAUUAAUGGGGUUGAGGAAAAAUCUGAUCUUGAUGAUGAACAAGAAAGGUCAGAGGAGCAUAUUUCAGAUUUCAAUAAUGGGGUUGAAGAGGGAACAGAAAAAUCUGAUCUUGAUGAUGAACUGGAGAGGUCAGAGGAGCAGCAUAUUUCAGAUUCCUAUAAUGGGGUUGAAGUUGAAGAGGAAACAAAACCCAAAGAAGAGUCUGUUCAGCAUAUUUUACUUUCAAAUAAUGGGGUUGAAGUUGAAGUUCACGGGGAAACAAAACCAAAAGAGGAGUCAGUUCAGCUGAUUGUAGCUUCAAAUAAUGGGGUUGAAGAGGGAACUGAACCAAAAGAAGAGCCAGUUCAGAAGAUUGUGGCUUCAAAUAAUGGGGUUGAAGAGAGAACUGAACCAAAAGAAGAGUCAGUUCAGAGGAUUGUGUCUUCAAAUUGUGGGGUUGAAGAAGGAACUGAACCAAAAGAAGAGUCAAAACAGCAUCUUGUGACUUCUACUAAUGGGGUUGAAGUUGAAGAGGGAACAGAAGCUGAAGAAGAUUCUGUUCAGCAGAUUGUAGUAGUUUCAAAUAAUGGGGUUGAAGAGGGAACUGAACCAAAAGAAGAGUCAAAACAGCAUCUUGUGACUUUUACUAAUGGGGUUGAAGUUGAAGAGGGAGCUGAAGAGUCAAUUCAGCAUAUUGUAGUUUCAAAUAAUGAGGUUGAAGAGGGAACUGAACCUAAAAAAGAGUCAAAGCAGCAUCUUGUGAUUUCUACUAAUGGGGUUGAAGAGGGAACAGAAGCUGAAGAAGGGCCCUUCAGCUCAGGCCAUUCUGUCUAUUAUGACAAAGAUGAAGGUAUAUAUUAUAUUACAUCAACUGUUUUUGACCAUUUUUUUGUACUUAAAUUCCUUAUGAAAUUCUCUCUUGAUUCUUCUUUCUUAAGAUCUGUGUAUUUACAUGUCUUCUUCAUUGGGUUUGUAGGGUAAAGUAUACAGUAUUCAGGGUAGUGAUAGAAAAACUCUUUUGAACCCCACGUCUUACCCUACUUGUCUGAAACUAUUUCUUCUUUAUUUGAUUGAUUCAGUUCAAAAAAAAUAAAAAUUUCUUCUGUACUGCAAAGGGACCCUUUGAUUAAUACAUAUGUUUGUUCGUUUGUUUGUGUAUGCAUAUAUACAUCAUAAAGGUUUGUGGUUUGCAUAAAUAUGUCACUGUGUUGAAGUUUAUGGCAAUGGGGUGAAAUUUCUCAAGGAUAACUCUGCUUAGAAAUUUGAGGAUGUGCAUAUUUGGUUUCUUGAUUCUCUUCUUGCUUCUUACUUGAGGUGAGGGACUUGUUUCCUUUGCAUUUAUGGAGAUGAAAAACUUUAUUGCUUAGUCUUAGGCUUAAUUCCAGAAAAUCUUCUGUGGGACAGUUGUUCCUUUGUAUCUUUAAUUUUUUGCCAUUUGUUGUCUAAUCUUCAACAUUUGUGGUGAGGAAUCUUUCUGAGAUUAACUCUCAUCUAGAUCCCUUAGAAAGGACAAACUUUUCUGGGAAAUUUGAAGAUUCACUAUUCUUUAAAAUGAAUUAAUCCCUUUGUGAUCAAGAUGUUUGACUCAACUGAUAUUUUUACUCCCUCCAUUUCAAAUUAAUUGAAUUGUUGAGGUGUUUCAUACCCUUUAAAAAAAGAAGAUUAAGACAUAAAUUAAGCAUAAUUUUCCAUUUUUACCCUUAUUAAUUAUUGUCAAAUUUAUGAUUACAAUAACUAAACAUUAUUUAAUAACUAAUUCCAAUACUGACUAAUAAAGGGUAAAAUUGGAAGAACAUUUUAAAAGUAGUUUUGAAAAUUGAACAAUUAAGUUAAUUUGAAAAAUGAAAAAAAAUGUCUCAACAAUUCAAUUAAUUUGAAAUGGAGGGAGUAUAAAAGAAUAGUAGAUUAGGUGUGAUAGUGUGUAGAAUUAGCUAGUGCAUGUUGGGUAAAGUUUGAUAGCUAUUCAUUUGGGGGAGUUCCGUUGGGAGCAGAAGAUCAUAGGUUAAUGCCUCCGGAGAAGCUAACCCUCCACAAGGACUCAUGUUUGAAGAUCCAUGUCCAUAGUCACUGCUAAUGAGUAAGGCCUUCAAACAUUCAGACUAUAGCUGAACAAAGUUUACACUUAAAUGGAAUCUCGCAGACACUUGCAGUCUGGGUGCUUAAGUGAAGUGUGAGUAAGCAUUGAACUCUCUUUAACUAUGAGACCCUCAAUGACAUAGUUUUUAGAUUCAGUUUUUUCCUAAUAAGAUAUUGACUUGGCAUUAGAAGUACUGCCACUGAUUGUGUUCAUCUGCUGGCAAGAACUGGAUGCUAUUUUCAAGUGACUGAUUAUGUAUAUUCUAGUAGUAGAUAUAGAGAUCCACCAGUAGUCCCCUACUAAAUGUUUUAAAAUAACAUCUAUGCCUUGUCUUUGAACCACUUAGAUGAAUCAACCUCGUUUUCUCAUGCAUUAGGCACAACAUGCAAUUUUUGCAAUCAUUCUUUCUGUUUGAUUGAAGGAAUAUGGAAGUGUCGAGCCUGCAGUUGGACUUUGCAAGGCAAAAGCCUAGAUAUUGGUUGGACAAAGAUUCCUAGGGGCUACUUGGAUAAGCUGAUUAAUUACCCAAUGUUAGAUCAGAGGGGAAGCAAAGGUCAGUUGAUACUUUGAUUUUAACAAAACAACCAUGACUGGUAGAGAAGUGAUGUUGUCAAUUAACAGAACAGUUUCUAUGGAUAUUUAAGGAGUAGCACAAUCGCAGAAUCUACUUUCAAUGUGAUGAAUGGUUCUAACAUCUGCAGAUGCUACAUAAUAGGCUGCAAGCAAAUAUUAUAAGUGUGUCCUUUUUCUCCUUGCUCCUUAUGGUUUCAGGCUAUUUUGCCUGUACAUUUGCAUCGUGAAAGCCAUUAUUUUAGUAAUUUUUAGCGGCGCCUUUAACGAUGAGAGAAGACGUUACCGAAGAGAAUAACUCAAGGGCACUGACUACUCCAUCAACUCAAUUUCGCUGCGUAAGUGAGGAUGCCAAUCAUCAUAGUCUGAACUUGAAACCUUUUGUAGGCUUAUCUCGUCGAUUGGCAUUCCGAUCCUGGUAAUUCGUAGAUAGUCGGCGUUUUUAGUAAUUGUCUAUCACCCAUUCCUGAUAGCCGCAGCUCUGCCUGUUCCCUUUCCCAUUAAAGAAUGAAUGGGGAUUGAUCAUCAUCUCUAUCUCCCUAAUCAAUCCUCCUAGGUCUAUGAAUUUCUCUAUCUAUUCCACUACAUUAUCUCUUUACAUGGGGCAGCAGAGUUAUGGUUUCAAUUCUAAGGUCCUCGGUCUCCAUGUGUUCUGUUUUUUCCUGUAUUAUGAUUUAUCCUAUAUGACUAUAAUCUUACCCAGUCUAUUGAUUGAUUGUGAUAUUGGUUUUCAGCUAAGCAAAUUUGGUGAACUUCAGUUAAAACUUCGAUGUUAUAACUAGCUUUCUCUUGUGAAUGGCAGAAAAUUUUAAAGUUCUUGUCCUGAUUAAUUGUUUGAACAUGUUUUUCAAGUUGAGUUUCAGAUUCACGUUUGUGCUUCUGUCUAGAUUUUGAGAGUUGGAAAAGUCAUUUGAAGUGAAGAGUUGAAUUAUUUCAUAUGCAUGCAGAUAGUAACUUCAUUUCUACACAUUCCAUAAAGGAGAAGAUCUAUAAAAUUCCAGGAGAUGAAGGAGUUCAAGAGAGUGCUACUCUAGACAUUCACCUUAAUGGAUAUUUGAAGAGUUACAACUUAUCAAGUUCCAGUGUUCAGUUUCCCAAAAAUCUUUCAGAAGAUCACAGCAUUGUUCAUAAGUCCACUGCCAUUGAUGAAAUAGAAAGUGCAGACCCUGACCUGAUAGAUGACAGUGACACUGAUGUAAAAGAUUUUGAUGUUGAGAAUGUACUUCAGAAGCAGAAUACACAUGAUCUUUAUUGCCCUAAUUGCAAGUCAUGCAUUACUAAGAGGGUUAUUCUUCGUAAAAGAAAACGUAAAAUUCGGGUUUCUGGUGAUGAUGUCAAACGUGUCAAACCUGAAGUUGUAGUUGAUUCCAAAGUGGAUGCUAGUCAUGCACAGGCAGCUGAUGAUGAAGUACGUGAUGGAGCCGACUGUUCUCUUCCACCAUUGGCAGUGGAUGACUACCAGCCUGAUAGAGAGCCAGAGCUAUUCAGAUGCUUAUCAUGCUUCAGUUUUUUUAUUCCAGCAGGUACAAACCUUUGCAUUACCUUGAAAGUCAACAUAAAAUCUGGUUGCCGCUUGUCAUCGCAAUGCAGUUUAUGGUGAACUGUUUCAUGUGCAAUGACAUGAAUAUACCUUGCUCAAAUAUCUGUGUGUAUUGUUAUUUCAGAGUUAUCCAUUGUUUGGUAAUCUAGCAGGCCCAAUAGAAGCUAAAAUAGGUCGAUAACUUAUUACUUUUGCUUAUAGCUACAUGAUGGAAUGACUUCAUCUUCUUUCCUUUAGGACUCAUGAAAGGCGGUCAAAACUUCUCUUUUUGGGGGAAGAAGAGUGAAAAAUGAACAAAAACUAAAGAAAAGAAAUUGGCCUUCAAUAUUUGGCUUGGGAUUAGCUGAUAUAAUGUUUAAAAUGAAUCAUACUCUUCUUUUACUUGAAGAGUUCCAGACACUUGUGAUCAUGUUUUAUAAAGCAUAUACUAUAUCAUCGUGAGAUCGUUGAAUUACAUAUGAUGUUGGUGUUAAUUUUUUUCUUUUAAGUGGAACCGGAAUUGUUUUUUUUUAGAUGUAGAUCGUAUGGAAAGAAGUGGUUCUUCUCCUUAAUCCAUGUGCUUGUGAAUGUAAAACAGUCUACCCAGUAGUGUAUAGUUUGCAAGAAUUACCAUUCAAAAAGGAGCUGUAUUGUAGUCUCAAUCUGUUGCAUUCUGUUGGGGACAGACUGUGGUUGGUACUCAGCAAAUACACUCAAACAAAUUCAAUAAUUAGUCUAGAUUGCAUGCAAUUUUUGUUUUUGGUGACUGAGAUUAACUUAGAAAUGACCCUUUUUUCAAACUUUCAGGGAGUGGAUUCAAACUGUUCCGAUUUUUUGGAGACAAAGGUGCUAAAGAAAAUGUCAAAGGUGAACAGACACCUACAAAGAACAAAAAAUGGUUCUCCCCUAUCUUUGGAUUAGAUAAGGGAAAAGCACCAGUUGAGCAAGGUACUGAGUUUUCCACUUCUAUUUUUUUUUUUCCAAUUGUGUUUACCUAACGAGCAUUAUAAAUUCCAACUCUACACAAAGUAGCAUCUAUCUACAAAUUUCUUUCAGAAAAAAGAAAAAGAAGAAAGACCUCAAAAUGUGUUUAGUCAUUCAUAAAAAAUGGGAUUUUGUGUGAAGUAUGAACUGCAAAAUGCAUUGAGAUGCUUUUCAUACUAGUCUGGUACAUUUUAGAGCUGUAGUUGAUUGAUCGUAAAGCAAUACCUUGAUAUUGGAGACAUUUCAAUUGUUUAGUUCAGAUGUUUUUACAGUUUAAAGUAUUGGGGGAAAGGGGAUGAUGUAAAUGACAUAGAGUCAAUGAUGGAUUCCUCAAAUGGGCUAGAGAUAUAGCAAAAGAGAGUCUAUCUUAUUUUUGUUUACUCUUUGUUCCAACAGCACCUUCUUGGUACUUGUUUCCUUUUCUUUUUUUAAAUACUCCCCUUGUUUCAAUUUGUUUGUUUUAGUUCGGAGUAUGGGGGUCAAACUAACUACUGUUAGGUGUGUAUUCGGACAUAGAACCUUCCAUUUUUUUCAAAACAAAAUUUACAUAUUUAGAAACUACAUAAAAAGUACAAUAAAUCUCAAUAGUUAACAAUUCAAAAUAUUUAGAAAGUAUUUGAAAAAAUUGCGGUCAAAGAAAAUAUCCUUCGAUUGUCCAGAUAGAAACUAAGACAAACAUAUUGAAAUGGAGAGAGUAAUACAUACCUUAUUAAGAAAACGACCAUUGUAAGUGAGGUACUUUUAUAGCUGGUAACUGUACUUCUGCCAUGUUGAAAUAAAUAUGUGGAGUUGACAAUGAAAAAGUUAUGAGGCUGGAUUUUAGUUCGGUAUGACAUGUUGCAAAUCCAAUAGAAGCUAAAACUCCUAGCUAGAAAGAGGUUCCCAAAUGACAUUCUCUGUGUAAAGCAAUAGGAUGAACUUAUGGCUAGUUCUGGUCAUUGCAUUGCUUAACAUAGUGAAAAUUUAAAGAUUAUCAUGCUGUUUAAAUUGAUGGCCUUUCUCAUGCAGGAAGUGGUAUUGGGGCAAGUGUAGUGAAAAAUGAUUCUGGAGUACUUAUGCCAUCAGCCCCACCUGCAUAUUCCAGCAGUGAAAUCACUCAGGAAGCUGGAGGGAAAAUUUUAGGAUCAAAGAACCAAGAUGCAAAUAUGAAAGGGAAAAUGGUGAUUGAUACAGUGGGUAAAUCAGAGAAUGCAACAAAGAGUCGAGAAGGUACAAUAAAGAUUUUCACCUUUGUUUUUUAAAGGGAAAAUAAAUGCAUCUUGUUACUGUGACUUCAUUGAAAACCUUUUUGAGCCAUAUCCAUCUAUGCUUUGAUUUUAGCUAUUAUUGUGCAUGUUUUAUGCAGCUAUGCUUCUAUAGCUUGAAUAUAAUACACUACCCAUGCUCCUCAAGGCUUUCUUUUAAAGGGCAUGCCAAAUUCCCAUGCUUGCAUCUCUUUGUCAGCACUAUAUUAUUUUCUAGUAAAUAUUAAAAUGAAGAAUCUGUAAACUAAGUUCACCAAUUCAGGUUUAACACAGGCCCUGCUCACAAGAAGCAUUUCUUAUUAGAAUGAAAUAUCUGAUAACCACAAAGAAGUUACAAAUAAGAAAUGUUUCUUGUGUUUCUUUUCCAUGUGGUUGAAUGAAAUAGCUGAUGUAAAGUAAAAUCGUGUCAGACUGUGAGUACUUAAAAUGAGGGAGUGUAAGGAUUUAAAUCUUUUGCUUGUCACAGAUAGUUAAAGAAAUAGCCUUUGCUUGUGAUCACGUCAAAAAGCAUCCAUAACAUGGAUGAGUAGAUAAGUUUAGUGAUCCGAUUUUGCAUUAUGUCUAAUUACUUAUUUGCCAUCAGAUCUUUCUGCUCCUUGGUGCAUUUUCCUGCACUUUUUUCUUUACGAUUUUGUUUUCUCUUGUGCAGCAGGUUCUGUCCUUGACAUCUUUGAUUCAGAGACCUAUAAUCAGCCAAGCGUCUCAGCUUCUUCUAAUGAAGUUCAAGGAAAUGAUAAGAAUGAUGAGCUGUUAAGAAACACUGGCAGAAUUCAAGUUAGCAAUGGAAAUCUUGUGCAGGAAAGUCUGCCAGCACCUAGUGAUAAGAAGGAUCAGCUGUUGAGACCCGGUGGAAAAAUUCAAUCUAGUAAUGGAAAUCUUGUGCAGGACAGUGUGCCAGCAUCUCAACAAAAUGAACUAAAGCUUCUGAUAACUUCAACAAAGGAGGAGUCUCUAACUAUUGAGAAAUCAGAGACUGACUUAAAAUCUGAUGGGGGAAUACUAAAUAAAGAUCCAGGUAGUGUUUCUAGUAUGAAAUUUACUCUAUUAAGAUGAUUUCACUGAAAAAACAAUGUCUGCUCAUGCUAAUUUCAAUUCAGAACAUGUAAUGUGUUGCCCUUUUUGAACAUUCUACCUCAACCUUGCGAAAAAAAGAAAAAGAAAUGGAUUUGCCUCAACUUCCCUCAACUAUUUCAGUGGUCAGUCAAUGGUAAUAUAAAUGUUAUCUUCACAUGUAGCUGUUGUGCUGAGAUGCAUAUGGCAAGUAGUUGUACUACUCAUUGCACUCUCUGGGUGCUAUUCUUAGCAUAAAAUUUCAUUACAUUUUUUUGAAAAGAAAUGUUAUUUUUACUCAAUCUGCAUUACUUUAGGGGGAAUUUUCAAUUUUCACAUGCCCCACCAAGAAAAAAGUGUUUUCUCUUUAUUUUAUAUUUGAAAAAAAGAAAAAGAUCCUUUUUGCUUUGUUGACUAACUUGGAUGUAAUCACAAUGACCUGUCUAUUAUAUAAUACUCCAAUAAUCAUAAUUGGAUUCAGCUCCUACUUGGCUUCAUGUGAAUAAACAAAUAAUGAGUCCUUUCUGUCUUCAGCAACCACAGCUUUUGCACUCAACGGCUUAGAUGGAAAUGGGAAACCCAAUUUUUUGACAGAAAUCCCUCAAGAACAUGUGCAACAUAUCGAAGCCAUGUUUUCCUCUGAAUCUCUGGUGGCAAACAAUGACAAUAAAUUUCAACUUAGUAGUGAAGGUAUGUCACUAACCCUCCUCUUAGUUCUCUGGUUACAAGCUCAUAAUUACUUGCAUAUUUGUCAAUACUGGGCUAAAAAUUGUUGUAAGAUGCGAACAGAGUGUUAAGAAUGGCGAAAUUGUUGGUUUUUUAAUAGAGAAAUAAAGAAAAUAACAGAGAAAGACUUUGAGAGAAAAAAUACUGCAGUAUUAUCAAAGGGAAUUAUUUUAUUAAUAAUUCAGAGACUUGCAUUUAUAGAUAUAAUUCCUAACUAAAAAUAGAAAAAUAAGAUACUAACUUAUCUACUUAAUUCAAAUAACAAAUAAAAAGAACUAACUCCUAAAUAUAAGUCAAAUAGGACUCUAAUAACAUAAUUUAAAAAUCCUAAAAAUAGCUAACUAUUUUAUUUCUUGCAAUAUCCUGAGACAUAUUCUCAACACUCCUUCUUGGAUUAGGAAUUGUAGAUUGUAGUCUCAUCUGAAAUUGACCUUGUGAACAAAUCUGCUAAUUCAUCCUUUGUCUUGCAAGGCUUGUGUGCAUCUUCUGUUGGAUUAAAUGAGAAGCUCUUACCUCUCAUUUCAACUUGUAAAAUCUCUUGCUUAGUAGAAUCAAAGAUUCGACAAUAUUUGUCUUCAAAUAAUAAUUUAAAUCUUUUUUCUAUUAAUUGACCAACACUAAACAAACUUUUAUCAAUAUCAGGCACAUAAAGAACAUCUGAAACUAUUUUUGUACCUGAAUUUGUUUUAAUUGAAACAUACCCUUUUCCUUUUGCAAGAAUACAAUCACCCAUUCCCAAUUUUUGACUUUCUUAUUUUCCAUAGGAAUGAACUCUUUAAAAAGAUUUCUUUCAUAUGUCAUGUAAUUUGUACAACCACUAUCAAUCGUCCAAAAAUCAGAUUUUUUGGUUGAAAAACAAGUUGCCAAAAAUAAGUGGUCUUCUUCUUCUACAGUAGUGACUUGGGCAACUGUUUCAUCUUUUUGAAAUUUGAUUUUGCAAAUCACAGCUUCAUGACCAAGUUGUUUGCAGUUCUUGCACUGUGCAUCUGGUCUUUUCCAAUAUUUAUAUGGAGGAUGUCCAUUUUUUCCACAGUGCUGACAAGGUGGGUAAUUUUUCAAAAAUUUACCCUUGCUUUGAGUUUUGUGGCUGGCUACUAAUGCUUCUUCAACCAUGCCAUCUUGCCUCAUAAGUCUCCUUUGUUCCUGAGCCUGUAAAGAAUUUAACAAUUCUGCCAAGGUAAUUUUGGACAGAUCUUGUGUGUUUUCCAAAGUAGUUAUACAUGCUUCAUAUCUUUCGGGCACUGUAACAAAAACUUUUUCAACAAAUCUUGUAUCUUUAAAUUCAGUGCCUAGUAAUCUUACCUUGUUGACAAUACCAAGCAAUCUGUCAGAAUAUUCAUUAACUGUUUCUGACUCUUUCAUUCUUUGCAAUUCGAAUUCCCUCGUUAAAUUUAAUACCUUCAUUCCUCGUAUUCUUUCAUCUCCAGCAUAUUCUUUCUUCAGAUAAUUCCAAAUAUCUUUUGGUGAUGUGAGAGUCAUGAUUUUCGUGAAAACAGUUGUCGAAACAUCAGCAAACAAAGUUGUUUUUGCCUUCGACUUAAUGGUUUCCUUUUCCUUGUGACUCUUGAUCUGGGCCACGGUAGAAUUAUUUGACAGCGGAUUAAUUUCUUAAUCCUCUUCCACGGCUUCUCAAAGAUCAAGAGCCUCCAAGUAGGUCUCCAUUCUUACAAGCCCAUAGUUGAUAAUUCUCACCAUGAAAAAUAGGAGGAGCCAUUCGUGAAAAACUAUUUUCGGAAUUCAUUUUUCUACUCACAGGUCCCUCAAGAAUAAGGCUCUGAUACCAAUUGUUGGUAUUUUAAUAAAGAAAUAAAGAAAAUAACAGAGAAAGACUUUGAGAGAAAAAAUAUUGCAGUAUUAUCAAAGAGAAUUAUUUUAUUAAUAAUUCAGAGACUUGCAUUUAUAGAUAUAAUUCCUAACUAAAAAUAGAAAAAUAAGAUACUAACUUAUCAGCUUAAUUCAAAUAACAAAUAAAAAGAACUAACUCCUAAAUAUAAGUCAAAUAAGACUCUAAUAACAUAAUUUAAAAAUCCUAAAAAUAGCUAACUGUUUUAUUUCUGCAAUAUCCUGAGACAUUCUCAACAGAAAUCCUGAAUGGUUUACCUGAAAUAGGUUAUCUCUUGAAUAAGUGUUUCCCCGUCACCUGAAGCUUUAAUUUCCAAUUUAGUUCGUAGGAAUUUAGGCACUUAAUCUUUUGUAUGUGUAAUUAUUUGCGCUAAAAAGAGCAAUUCCAUUUAUCUGCUAAAUGUUGGUUCGGAAUGAAGUAUUUUUGUUGCACUCUCAUCAACUUGUCAUCUGCGGUAUAGUGGUGUUAGUUUGAGAAAAGUUUUUUGCCUUUAUGCUGCCUUACUAGUGUUUGAUUUGAUUGCUUUGCUGCCAAUUACUAUGUCUCCCUUUCAUUGACAGACGGCGCCCAUCACUAUGAAGUUUCUCAGCAUACCAUCACAAAGACCAAUAUAGAGAUCCACUCAAAGCAGCCUUUAAACGUUGAUGAGCAUGACUUGAUUUCAUCGGUGAAGGAUGCUUUAUCAAUUCAAGAUAAGCUGGAUAACAUCCCCAACAUUACUGUGGAAGCAGCUGCAAAUAACAUUGCAGGUAAGAACUGGACAUAUUUCAUUGUAAUACUUUAUGGUGACUAUACAUAAAUCUAGUUGCAAUUAGGGAUCAGAGAUUAUUGAGAAAGGCUUUUUCAUCAGCCUCUCACCACUUGUAAGCUUCCUAAUAAAAGCUCUCCUAAAGCUGUGAGUCGAUGACAAAGUAUGUCGAAAGAGUUGAAGCAUUAUUAACCAUGUAAUCAUUAUACUAGUUGAUGUAUAAAGUUGAUUGAUUUUGAAAAAUGGAAGAAUCUAUAAUCUGAUGUAUCAUCUUCUACCAUACUAUCAAUCCAAAUGCUUGGACUGCCAAGCACAGCAUAUACUUAGUGACUAGUGCUGAACUUCUGCUGUCAGUAUCUUGCUUAAAGAAGAACUAGGCUAGUAGGAUUGUUGUGUUUUUAUGUUGAAUAAUUUAUGCGAUUAUGCUGAAUAGAGGUUGAAUAAAGAUGAUUGUGCAUAUUCUCAGCACUGCUACUUCGUAAAAUGGAGUUUUAUGUAGCUUAGAUUUCUUGACUCAAUUGUGUGGCAGGCAACGAUACUAUUAUAACUGUGGAAGCUGGGCAUGAAACUAGAGAAACAGCUUCAGCAAAUCUAGAUACUCAAAUCCAAUCUGUUGAAGGACAGGCAACUGAUGGUGCAGAUGGUUACAAAAUUGAGAUCAUUAAAAGCAUUAUAUUUGGGGGUUUAGCUGAAUCAAUUACAAGCUUAAGCGUUGUAGCGUCUGCUACUGGUGGUGACACAACUACAUGUAAGAGAUAUGUAGUAUUAUCAUGUUUCAAUCAUCGAUAACAUAGUUCAAUUACUCAACUGAUGCUUUAUCUGAAUUUUCACAAGUAUUUAUUCAUUUACCCUCACUGGUGUGGGAAUAGUGCCUCUGACAAACUUAGCCAAAAAAUAAAUCUUGUUUAUAUGGAUUAAUAGUACAAUUUGACUUUAGGCUAAUUAAAAAAUUUGUAACUGAUUUUCUUGGUCAAUUAUAAUUUGAUUUUGCUAUGGAUGUAUUCCAUCUUCUUGAACAUCUAAAAAUUAUUUGAGAAAAAAAAAACCACUUUUAUAAAAGGCUCUGGCUCCCUACUUUGUCUUUUAAACUUUCUUCUUGUUUUGAUGGUAUCUUCAUGUCUUACUGCAGUGAACAUUUUAGUUCUAGCAAUGGCUAAUCUGAUUGGUGGACUUUUCAUCAUUUUCCACAAUGUAAGUUGGCUUUAGCAUUUUGCCAUGAUUUCUUCACUUCCAAUUAUUUUUUUCCAUCUGCUUUAGUAUGCUUUCCUAGAGCCGAUGGUCUAUCAGAAACAACUUCUCUACCUCCCAUGAUAGGGAUAAAGGUCUGCAUACGCUCUACCCUCCCCAAACCCAACUUGUUGGAUUACAUUGAGUAUGUUGUUGUUGGAUUUCUUAUGAACGGAUUAUUUACCUAGGGGAGACAAGCACUCUCCAACAAAAAUUAGGUCGUAGCUGCACCCAAGGGUGUGGCCUAGUGGUCAAUGAAGUGGGUUGAGCACCAUGAAGUCUCAGGUUCAAUUCUCAGCAGAGACAAGACACUAGGUGAUUUAUUCUCAUGUUCAAUUCCCAGCAGAGACAAACACUAGGUGAUUUAUUCCCAUUUGUUUUAACCUUGGUGGAUAGAGUUACUUGGUACUUGUUGUUAUUACGAGGUGACAAAUAUCCCAUAAAAUUAGUCGAGGUGAGUGCAAGCAUUCUCGAACACCAUGGUUAUAAAAAAAAAUUAGGUCCUAGCAAUGGCACAGAAGAACCAUUUAACCUGAAGCUUUAGCCAACCUCUUCAUUUGCGGGACUAAAAGAUGCUAAUAGAGAUGGGAAAUGUUUUAUCACAUUUUGAAGCCAUGUUUUCCUUCUUACCAGAAUUUACUCAAAUCAAUCAAUUUGUGGGGGCAUCUUUUCUUCCUCAUGUUUUCAGUUCAAUUUUCUGUAUCCAUUCUGAAUUCAUAAAACUUGCAGCUUUGGGAGUUGAAAAGAGAUCGUUUCGAGCAAGCCAGCAAUCAGAUAAUGGAAAAACAUGUAGAUAGGUAUCGAGAACAACUUGGCCGGAGAGAAAACUUCACACUGCAUGCUGUACUUGUUAUAUUAUCAUAUAUUAUAUUUGGACUAUUGCCUCCCGUAACCUAUGGCUUCUCGUUCCGCAAAAGUGAUGACAAGGACCUCAAGAUUGUGGCAGUUGCUGCAGCUUCACUUGUAUGCAUCUUAAUGCUGGCUACUGGAAAGGCCUAUGUUCAGAGAGCACCCAAACCUUACUUCAAAACUAUAUCAACUUACAUUAUUUUAGGCUUCACGGUUUCUGGUGUAUCUUAUGCAGCAGGCAUACUAUUCAAUAGACUGCUGGAAAAGUUUGGGUUUUUCCAGCCUAGUUCAACACUGAACCUGUUCCUUCCGGAGAUGCCGGAGACUGGAGCAGCAUGGGCAUCCUUUUGAAGAGCAGAGAAUGAUGAACCACAAACAUGUAACCUCCAGGAAUAUCCUCUAGUUCUUUAUGGUUUGCUUUUUUUGGCUUUUUUAUUUUAGAUUUAGCCUCUCCCCUUGUUAUUUUAAGUUACUUAGUUUAAACACUCGAUAAGAAUAAAUAUCUGCAUUACAAUACUUGCGUUAGUAAUCUAUGCACAACUUGCUUCCAAACCAAACGACCCUGAAUGAAAAGAAUAGAAACUCUGCUGAGUUUCUGAAAGAAAAUUGAAAUGAAAGCACAUGAUAUCAUUUCUUUGGAUAAGCUGAGAACGUAAGUUCAGUAUAUAGUCUUCUCUUGUAAACUAACAAAUAUAGAACUCUGAUCAAUCACUUAACAAUGGUUAAGUAAUAGAUGUAUAUUGAAAGAUUCAUGUCUUGCAUUCAUUAGUUUGUUGUGAACACUAUAGCUAAGUUGUUCGGACCCUCCAAUGAUAAUCCAUAUCUUUUGGAGGAUCUAACACACAUAGAGUCAGGCAAUCAUAAUCCGGAAGCGCAAGUAAGUAGAGUAUUUACCCCAAUUGACUAAGAUUGCUUGUAAAGCUCUUCCCUUUCAUCUAUUUUUGUUUUAUAUUUGGAAUCUUCCUUUUUUGUAAUUUUUAGGAAUAAAAGUACAUUCAGUUUUUUCUACCAUGUCAUUUCCCUUCACAGCUUUUAGUAAUUGGACAGAUAUAGGAAAGAGAUAGGUGGGCUAAAAAUUUGUAAGUUUCUUGUUUUCUCUACCUUCUUGUUUUUGUCACCGGGGGGAAAAAGUUGUGGUUGAGAGACGAUCCAUUUUUCAUGGUAGAUGAACCUAGCUAGAGGAAAAGGAAAUGGAUAAGAGGGUAAUGUUGAAACUUAUACAUCGAUGUGUCACAAAUAAGUGUUUGAUUUUAAAAUACAAGUGUGUUUCCGAUACUAAGCCAUAUGCUUCAACAAAUAGCAAAAAUGGCAUAAUAGAUGGAUGAAAUUAUGAAGGUCAUCCAGACUCUACUCGUAAGAUUACAUGAGUAAGACUCACUUUUAUAACCAGUUAUCGUGGCAUGUCCUUGAAAUUUAGUCACAAUUUUAAAAAUAUUGCGUACUUUUAAUCACCAGAAAAAUGUUUUCAUACACACCGUUUUUGUUCAGAUUCUUCUUAGGCACAGGACUUUUUUUUCUUGGUUCGAAGUUUGGUAUAAAUAUUGCCCUGAACUUCAGGUGUAUGUCCAAAAUUCAGACGGUUGCUGUAGAAGGUCAAUGGAACCAUGUAUACAGUUCAAAACCAGUUGAUUGGAUAUGAUUAGAAAUCGAAACCACUACAGGAGCCUCAAGCCAGAUUUGAACAAAAUAUCUCAAAUGAGCUAACAGAAACUCGAAACAGAACUGCAGCAAUGACUUUGAUUUCUGAUUUGAUUUUCUAACAUGGGGAGGAUAUGGAAAGCCAAAAAAUAUGUGAUUUUUUUUUAAAAUUUUUUUUGAUAAGAGGAAUAGCAUUUUUGCUCUGGGAAGGAACCUGUCGGGUUUUUGGUAUGGUGACAAGGAAAAGGUGAAGGAUGUGAGCAGAGUUAGCAAAAUGGCAAAGUUGCACUCAUUUUGAAAUUUGUGACCACAUUUUAAAUUACACUAGUGAAAGUGCUGGAAAUAGCAAAUACAUAAUCAUCGAAUUCAUUUCAUUCGUCGGGGAUAAAAUCCAUCAUCCUUUAAAUAUUGAAAGACCAAAGGAAUAAUAAGAAGGAAGAAAAUAACAAACGUUGGACAGAAAAACAGUUAUAUCAAGUCUCUGUGGAUUCUACGUUUAUUUUCAAUCACCUGCUUUGACAUUACACGAAUUAGUACCCAGAAAAAUCACAGCACCUAAACCUGAUCAAGCACUCUGUCAACAACUAUGCAUCAGUCACAAACAAGUUAAAGUCGACAAUAUAAACAAGGUAAAGUCUACUAUAUGAAUCCUCACUGAGAUGUUUCCUGAUAAUGGUGUCAUCAAAUUGUAGCAAGUAUAAAUCACUGAACUGAAGCAUUCUGGAAAAGACUCCCUAACAUGCAUUAUUAGUAUGAAUAGAACUGAUACAUACCAAAAUAAGGAGGCACACGUCAGAGCAAGUCUUCAAGUAAAAACCAUACAAGGCUUUGCUCAUCUGCUGCUUACAAUUAUCAUUAAUAUUUAAGUAGUACCAAAAUUUAGUAACAAGGGAAAUGACGAACGGUCAAAGUUCUUUUAACGUAGACAUAUCCCUUCCCAUCAUAAAUUUCUUAACACGAGACAAGCAAACACUCAAAACAAAAAGAACCAAACAAAAUCAUUCCUUGGGGGACUGCAUGUGCGACUAUUUCCUGCAAUAUCCUCUGAAGCCCAAAGUUAGUGUCAGAGAAGCUAUGGUGCGUACUCAUAUGAACGAGAAAAAGGGUAUAUGAAGAAUAACUUCGCAUCUUCGUCUAUCAUAGCCAGGAUACUAGACUGGACCAGACACACCCGAUCACGAACUUUUGGCGGGAGAUUCAGAUUUCAGAUCUUGUUUACUUUUGCCUCUCUUCAUUUUGGCUUUAACCCGAGACUUUGUCACAAGAGUCUUCACUGUGUUGGCAAAAUUCCCAGCUGCCAUGAUAAUCAGAAGGAUCCCACAGGUAACAACCUGCCACAAUCGCAUUAUUUUAGAAACUAAUUAGUUAAUGAUAGGAAGGGGCUGUUACAGUAACAUGAUUUCUUUGGCAUGGCAGCUUACACAAGAUAUAUAUUUGAAUAUUACAGAAGGGAAGGUCUAAUUUAGUUACUUGUAUUGUUUGAUUUGUAUUCUCAAUGAGCAACCAAACUAGAUAACAUCUGGUGGAAGAGAGGGAGUUUCAUCUUACCUGCCACUCAGAAACAACACCAAUGAAUGCUGUCUUAAGCAACAAGACUCCAACAUAUGCUUCGAAUCCCUGACAUUAAGAACAAACGACAUACAGUCAUUUGGAACCAGCUCAAAAGAUAGAACACUACACCGAUAAAAUUUCAUGGAACAUUCUGUGUACACAGGGAUAACCAAUUAAACUGACUUUUUUUCCUGACAAGGAUAGUGCCUAUUGUUGAAUGUGAUGUCUAGAAUAGAAGUAUCAUCCACAAAAGGUGAUAUCAAGUCAUAAAAAGGCUACAGAUUAUCACCCAUGACCCAUCUAAUUGUAAUUAGCUACUUUUAGCUCAGAUUAAAUUAUGUUGUUACACCAAUAUUCAGAAACUUCACACAACUCACAGGGGAACUCAUGUCAAGGUUCACAUAAAAAACGGAUACUUGACAGACUUUAGGUAUCUUUGAACUAUACAGUCACUAAAAGGGGGCAUCUAUGAUAUUUAACAUGCAUUCACUAGGUACAUCAUGCAAAGUUACACUAGCAUUCCCACUCUUGGACUACUUAAAAAAAAUCAACUUGAACCUAAAGGCCCAGUCUCCUGAAACAACAGGAGCGAAAUUUCAAGAGAAAAAGUAGCUCAGUUAAAAAAAGUCCAAAUUGAACUCAGUCUACCUGCAAGAUAAAUAAUACAGGGAAGAGCAACAAUAAUUGACCAUCUACUCCAGCAGUCUCUCCCCACACAACAUCCAUUCUCCUGGCCUGAAAUCAGAAUUCAGAAGACAAUAUAUCACAAUUAGGAUAGGUUAAUGGAUGAUAGGGAGUACAAAUGUCUUCUUUAUUCAGCUACAAGGCAAAACUCAUUCCCUCAACAUGAGGGAGCCAAAAGAGUGACCUUGAAGUCAAUCCUCAAGGUUUUUUGUUAUUUAAUCAACCCACAGGGCAGAGAAAUAUUUUUAUUUUUUUGAUAAUUGUGGUGUCCGGGCCCUGUGGAGAGAAAUAUAUCAGCCUAUAUGCACUAGAUACCAAAAACCAUCUUGGUGCUUAUUAUUAAAAUUUAUUUGACUUAUAAAAGGAAUAGUUCAUCUGCACAAAAUUAGUGAAGCUUUAAGACGGAUUUUUAAAAGGACAAAUUACGACACACGAAGAGUUUCUUAGUCAAACUAGUGAUUCCUCUGUUUGCGUACCUUUCCUAAUGCAAUACGAGUGUACAGUCUUUGUCUCUGAUAUCUAUUCUGAAGGAGCAUUGCAACGCCUUGCAUGAUAGCCCAUUUCAGGAACAGUUGCACACCCCUCUGCAAUGGAUUGUACAUUAAAAUGAGUAUUAUAAAUCUUAAACAUUAUAGAGAAGUACAUUUUUGUUGAUAAGCAGCUAAAUAAAUAUACAUGUCAUUUUUAAAUGAAUAAAAACCUGCUUCUGUGAACAGUUAGGUUCUCUUUCUAUUUCCCAGGUAAGACUUAUAAGUGCCAUGGCCAUAGCACAGUAGUGAUGUUUUAUCCACCUGCAACAAUACGACCAUAAUUUCUGUUAAUUAGCUGUCUUUUGUGUUCAACAUAUAUAAUAUUGGUAACAAACUUUAGAAUCAUUAAAAUUGCACUGCUACUUCAGUUACAUAAACAACAAAGAUAAGCGUUUUACUUGACAAACAUAAAACAAAUGACAGAUGUUAAAUUUUCAUUGGCAAUAGGGGAUGUUGCUCAAUUACCAUGGACGAAUAUCACUUCCAUUCGCUCUCAAAAUGUUCUCUCGCAGAGCCAAACCUGUGUAGAGGUAAAGCAACCAGGCCUGAAGACAUCGAGGAGCUCAGAAUACUUGUUUGUUAAAUGUAAAAGUUUCACUAUAAUAAAUAGGAAAGCAAGACUACCAUGAAUAUGAAGUCAAAUGACAAAAUCUUCUAUUUAAAUGUACUACCUGGUAAAGUUGGACUGGCAAUGCUGGUAAACAUCCAUCCCACAUCCAAGACCUCAAGACUAGUAGCACCGAUGGGAAAAGAAGGAAUAGAUAUGCUGUCCUGUCCUGUCAAGAGAAGAUCGGAUAUAGUAAUUACAAGAAAGAGGUUUGCACAUAACUGAGGCUUUCCAUGUAUCCAAGUCAUUUAUCCAUUUUAUCUGGGAAGGGCAGAAUCAUUUCAAGUUUGAUUGAUAGAAGCAGCACUAGCUCUCUUCCCUCAUAACGAAGUGUAGAUGGUCAGUUAGAAAGAACUUCAAUAAUAUGUAAUUCAAGUUGAAAGGAGCAAAAACAUAGAUAAUAGUAGCUUAUCCCAACUAUUAUCUGGGACUAAUAUUAACCAGGCUUUGUCAAGGCAUAAGCCGCUGGCCUCAAAGUCUACUCCAUAUACAAGAAUCUGUUCAAAGGAGAGGCUAUCUACCAAUAUGGAAAUCUUAAUCUUCCUCAAAUAUCAAGCAGUAACAUGCACAACACACAUGAAAAAAUGAUGAAUACAAUAUGGAAAAAGUUCUCAAAAGUUGGGCUUGCAUUGAAACAUAUUCGAGUUCUGGUGCAUGUAGAAGCAAUUUAACUUGAACAUGAUACAGUUCACCAUAUUCUCUUUUUCACCUUUUUUCUAAAUCACAACAAGUAUAUCGUACAUGCAAAUCAAAUUAAUCAACUCCAAAAGAGCACCAAUUUGUUCAAUUACCAUUAGAUUUAUCAACUAUCCAAAGACAAACUAAUCACCCAACUCUAAUACAAUAACUUAAACACCACUAAAAAUAUAAAAAUCAAAGCUCGGAACACAUACCCUGAAACUAUUAUAUUCCUCUUUCACUUUCAGUUGCACAUCCUUUCUAUUAGCACGAACAUUGAUUGGCCCCAAAAACAUCCUCAAAAACCCUCCUGUAAUUAACCACAUCAGAAACAACAAACAACCAGUAAAAUCAUAAAUUUAACAAAGGAAAAAAAUGAAACAUACCAUGAGAUUUGUUCGGAAGAAAAGCUGCAGCAUCUCCCUCACUCAAUACAUAACUAGCUUUAAACAACUCCUCUUCCAACUGAAAAUAAAUAAACAUGAAGGAAAAAAAAAAGUUAACACAAAUCACAUCUACGUCGAACUAGCACCAAAUACCUUAAUGCACAUGCAUGUAAACAUAAAUGCACCGAAAAAAUCAACCUCAAACUAUUCUCUCCAUCCGCACACACAUUGAACAGAGUUGCCUAAUACAUGUUGUUGUACAUAAAUUUUAAAAAAAAACUAAUAGAAAUCCAUUACCUUUUCAGCUUGAUUAGGAUCCAAUUUACUCUUCCUUACAGCUGAACGAAGCCCCUGAACGCACGAAUCAAGCGACUUAGCUUUCUGCCUUAACGAAUCCUCUUCACGAGUAGUUCUCGAGAUCAAAGAAGAAGCUGCGUCUUGCAACUCCUUAGCUUGUUCGACGAUUCUAGAAGCUUCUUCCACAAAAUCUCGUUCCACCAAAUUCUGUCCCACCGCCGUAGUAAUAGAAUCCCCAUCCCCCAUCUCCGGUAACCAAAAAACUCCCGAUCCAAUUCUCCGAUAAACAAAAAAACAGUAAUCUCACAUCUACCGUUAAUCGAAUUGAUGAAUACGCAGAUAUGAGAUGAAUUAAAUAGAAAUAUAUUUUUGGUUCCGUGAAGACGCGGCAGCAAAAGGGUAUCUAGAAAAGGGGAUGGAGGAGGGAGGGUGGGUGGGUGGGUNNNNNNNNNNNNNNNNNNNNNNNNNNNNNNNNNNNNNNNNNNNNNNNNNNNNNNNNNNNNNNNNNNNNNNNNNNNNNNNNNNNNNNNNNNNNNNNNNNNNNNNNNNNNNNNNNNNNNNNNNNNNNNNNNNNNNNNNNNNNNNNNNNNNNNNNNNNNNNNNNNNNNNNNNNNNNNNNNNNNNNNNNNNNNNNNNNNNNNNNNNNNNNNNNNNNNNNNNNNNNNNNNNNNNNNNNNNNNNNNNNNNNNNNNNNNNNNNNNNNNNNNNNNNNNNNNNNNNNNNNNNNNNNNNNNNNNNNNNNNNNNNNNNNNNNNNNNNNNNNNNNNNNNNNNNNNNNNNNNNNNNNNNNNNNNNNNNNNNNNNNNNNNNNNNNNNNNNNNNNNNNNNNNNNNNNNNNNNNNNNNNNNNNNNNNNNNNNNNNNNNNNNNNNNNNNNNNNNNNNNNNNNNNNNNNNNNNNNNNNNNNNNNNNNNNNNNNNNNNNNNNNNNNNNNNNNNNNNNNNNNNNNNNNNAGUGAAUUUAAUUUCUUUGAUUUGUUUUCCCAAAAAAUAAAAGCAUUAAAUUCAUAUAUAUAACUUAUAUAAGGGUAAUAAUUUUGUGUAAAUAGGAGUAACAUACAUUUUGUCUCAAAUUGCAUCAUAUUCUUUUCUUUUUAAUCUAUUAUAUUUAAAAAUAAUUUAAUUAUAUAUUUUAAGAAAUCAAAGCAAGAUGUUAUUUUCAAUUUUAUAAUUAUAAAUAAAUAAAUAUAUCUCAAACUAUUUCGAGUAUUAAUAGCCAAAUUUAAAUUUCAAAAUUAUAUUGUGAAUAUAGAUAACUUUUAAUUUUAGUAAAAGAAAAACUCAAUACUCCUAAAUGAUUUCUCAAAGAGGAGUAAAAAGGAAUGAAAAGAGUAUUUCUUUCAUCUCAAUUUAAGUAUCUUGUUUUUCAAAAAAAAUUAUUUUGAAAAGAAUAACUCUUUUUAUAUUUGAUAAUUCUCUAAUCUCAACAUUUUGCAUGGCUUGAUCAUUUUGGUAAAGAUAUUACACAUAUCAAUAUUGAAAAGUUUUCAUAGUUUCUUACUCUAUAUCUAAUCAAAUUACUAAAUGUUUUAAAUUGAAAUGAGUAGAAUAUUUUUUUCUCAUUAGAUUAUAUAUCUAGUAUUUUGAUAUAUUUUAUUUGAGCCAGAAAUUUAUCUGAAUAAACCCUCCACCUACACAAUAUAAGAUAUAAAAAUAUAUAAUUACGGAUAUAUCAAUUUCUCCAAAUCACACUUAUAAAAUCACACUAAAUAUAUUAUUAUUACUAUUAUAAUUGUUAUAAAUUAUAUAUUUAGUCAAAUAUACUCACAUAUAUUGGGAUGGUGAGAAUAAUUAUUUUUGGGACCGGAAAAUAGUUUCAACAACUUUGAAAACUUAUAUUCACCAACUAUAGUGUAUAGUGUAUAUUAGGGUAGGUUUGAAAUUGGAUGAGUAAUUUGAUCCAAAAUCUAAUCCAUAACACUAGACGAAGUUUCUUUAAAAGUAUUAAAAUAUAGCGGCAAGUAGAAAUAGACUAUGAUUAUGACACAUUAAUAUGUCAUAAAAAAUUGAAGCUCACAUAGCUUAGAGAAUCCUAGUUAAUGUUUGUAUACUUUGAUAAAUACAAUUGAGUGUAUCGAAAUUAAAAAUUUCGCUACUAAUAUGAUAUUCGAUUUUAAAAAAAUUAAAUGCUAAAAUAUAUAAUAUCAUAUUAAGGUUUCUUGAAAUAUUUCUAUGAAAACCAUUCAAUCUUUGUUAUUAAUAUAAACUAAUCAAUAAAUUAUAUAGGGAAAAUGGUCUGAAAUAUAAUCGAACUUUGACCGAAAUUGCAGUAACGAUACCAAACUUUGGAAAUGAUCUUUUACCCCCUACACUAUUUAAUAGUGUAUUUUAAAUGUAUAUAUAUGCCCACGUGGACAUCAUAAAUAUUGCAUAAUUAUAAAUAAUAAUGUGCCCACGUGGACACAUAUAUACCUUCUAAAUACACUAUUAAAUAGUACAUGGAGGUAAAAAGUCUUCCAUAAAGUUUUGUAUCGUAACAAUAAUUUCGGCCAAAGUUAAAGUAUUUUUCAGACCUUUUUCCCAAUUAUAUAUAAUCGUAUAAAAUAUGAUUUACCCAAGUUUUUAGUAUUUUUGAACAAAAAUUGAACUUCAAAGACAUCAAUUCUAAAUAGUUGAGAUAUAUUUCUUGUUCGAAUAUUUUCGGUCAAUUAUUUUUUCCUGUUCAUAUUUAUUCGUUUAUUAUUUUAAAAUAUUUUUUUUUAUUUGUUAUUUUUAACCUAUAAAGGAAAAUAAAAGAGAAGAGAAAAGAGGGGAAGAAAUCAGAAAAUUUAUUUUUGUUCAUUAAUGUGUGACACUGCAUUUUUAAUAAAUAUGGAGGCAGAAAGCUCAUAACUAUUCCCCCAAUGAAAAAUAAGACACGUAAUAAAAAAUAAGCUUAUCGAAGGACUAACUGGAAUUAAAUUGUCCGCUUUACCAUUUUUCUUGUCACAUUUUUAAUUUACAUGUUCUUUAAGAAAUUGUUCUUACUGUUCGAUAUUAGUUGUUAAUUUAUUUAUUUUUAAAUUAAAAGACAAAGCUAAUUACACUUUUCUUAAGAAAUCAUAAUUAAGAAAAAUAGUCUUACUAGUUUAAGCAAACAAAAAUAGUUAUAGUUUACUUAUCCACAAUAGCUCCAACCUCUUUAUAGAUAGAGUGUAGAGCAAAUUCCCAAUAUGAGAUAGUCAAAAUUGAAGUAAGUCCUUGUGAUUCAACCAAAGGGCAUAUAAUUUAUCAACUCCACAAAAAAGAUUUGAAGGAUUAGAGAUAAUGGGUGUAAACCGAAAAGGAUUCAUAAGUAAUUGUUAAUGUAGACGAGGUUAUCAAAUUCUGAGGUGUCGGUAUCAAUCUAUGCCAAAUCGUUCCACGUUUACUCGUAGCAAGAUAUUUUAGGAUUAUUUUUUUGAGAAUUUUACAAAUUUAUUUACAUUUGAAAAAGAAAUUAAUUGUAAAAAUAAUAAAUCAAUUUUAUCUUGCUUUUGUAGAGUUUGGAUAUGAAAUCGCCGCUAUUGGAAUCCUAUUAUGAAUCAAGUCCAAUCCAAUGUGGAUAUCAGGGGCACACAAAUAGUUAUUGGGCUGACAAGAACUAUUGAGGCAAAAACAAACAGAAGAAUUAAGUUAAUUUGAGAUUUAGGUUGAAUAGUGGGGCACGGAAACGGUUCAAUCAAAAGAGUUAAUGGUAACUGAUAUGUGAUGCAAGAAUUAUACCUAUUGUUAAGAUAGAGAAUCUUAUUCCUCUCAUCUCCCUUCUUAGAGCCUAAAUAUUUCGUUUUCAUUCUUAUUUGUGUCCUUUAAUUACUUGUAAUUUCAAUUUCAAUAGCUUGAGUGUUGUAAUUACGACUCUGAAGUUAAAAAAAAAUCAUGUUGCAAUUUUUAUCAAUAUAGUGAAGAAUUCGAAUUUGUUAGACUUUCAAGCACGAAUUCGAAUUUAAUUAGAUUCUAUUACAAAAGUUGUAUUAUUGAUAGAUUUGAAAAAUGGAGUGUGAAACUCGUGCAAAAAUCACACACACAUUUUUGUUUUAUUUUUAUAAAAAAUUCAAACAAACAUAGCCUUGAAAAAUCGUGGGGGCUGCUUCCUACGUGAACCAACACCACCCAUUGCUGACUAACUAUUACGAAUAAAGCAACCCUUUAAAAUUCGUAAUUGUAAUUAAUAUUUGUCCUUGGGCUAACUAAUGAACAAUAUUUAUGGAUUUUUUCUUUCUGCAAAAUAUUACUAUAAGUUAUAUUAUUAAAUUUAUAAAAGUCAAAGAAUAUGCUUUCCCUAUUGAGUAUAUCUCCAAAAAGAUGACAAUAUUGAAAAUAAUUCUACUUUUUGCGUUGCACUUAAUAUACUUUCUGUUAGUAUAUUAAAUGUCAGGGAAAAUUAACAAACAUGCAUUUGAGCUUGUACCCGAAAAAAGGAAUUACAUUAAUUCUCGAGUACAAGCCCAAAUGUGCACUUGUUAAUUUUCAUAUUGACACCUCAACUAAUGCUUGUAUCUAUUAAACGCUACUAGGGUGAACAAAAAAAUGACCUCUUUUCUCAUGAGGGUUUCUAAUUUCUACAUGUUUAAAGAGAUGCUUGAUGAUCUCAUUGAUUUCCAAGCUGAAAAAGUAAUGGUAUUGACUAUUGAGCCUCAGAACUUUCUUUGGUGGAGUUAAUAAGCUAGGAUGUUCUUUCAAACACCCUCUACCGAAAAACCAUAUAAUAGAUGUUGAACCCUGUUGGUGAAAAUAUUGUCUCCACCACUGGUGGUAUGGAAGCAAGAAAAACUUAGAAUGCUAAACAAAUGACUUUCAAUAAAUUACUAUUAUUCAUGCAAGUCCUUCUGAAAGCAUCUUUUAGAGAUGCAAUCUGCGUAUCAUGACAAGACCAUAUUAUCCAGCUAAUGUCCUUUAAAGAUCUUGAAUGCUUUACAGAUUCAGCAGAAACAAGUACAAAUAUUAUAAUGUACAUAUACAUGUACUCUUCUUCAUGCACUAAUAAACUUUUUGGGUCAAGAAGAUUUUUAUCUAUUGGAUUCACAGCUCUGAAAACAUGCUGCAGAACAGAAACCUUUUCUUGACAUUUCUACAAUUCUUAAUUAUAGUAUACAUAAUCAUCUCAAAAACAUCUUCAAGAGAAUAGUUUUCAUUCGAAGCCAAAACCUGACAUGAUCGAUAACAUCUUUGUGAUUGUUAAUAGCAGAAGGAAAGGUUACCUCGAUAAUAGAAGCAGGAAUGGUUACAUAACCUGCCUCAAAGAGUAGUUGCCUCUUUAGUAUCUACAGGUUCCUUAAAUUUUGCCUUUUCACUGAGCUCUUGAAAUGCAUGUAGAAGAUUCUGAAGUCUUGCAACAAACUCAAUCAACAAGGAUGUAAAUGUUGACAGUGAUAAUGUACUAGCACUUUCAAAAGUCCGUACUUCACGUUCGUUUAAAAUCACAUCUCCAAUGAGUGAAAGACGUGAAGGCCACAUUGUCUGCUGCGUGAAUACAUCUGCUGAGGAACCCCAUUGUGAAGUAGAAAAGUUGACACUUACAUUUGGAUUAAGAGUAUCCAUGUGUUUCAAUGUGUGAGCAGACCUUAGAUGGAGAGUAGCUUCACUAAGGGAGUUAAUUACCAUUGGUUUAGGUUCAUUGUCCUUAAGUUCUUGUAGGCGUUCAGGAUCUUCAAACUUCUUAGGUCUUUUUGAACUUUCCCAAUUCUCUGCAUUAACCAAAAGAUAAGAUUUUUGGUCAAUCAACAAUUGGAGAUCCUCAGCAGCUUCAUGAACAUCUUUGAGAGGAUCUCCGGGGCUUAGUUUCUCCAUCUUUUCAACUUUCUCCCCAAGCAGUCGUAUCACUUUAGCUCCUUCAGUCCCAACUCUCUGAAUCUCCUUCAUAAAAGUCCGCCUCAAUUCAGAUGCUGCCUACAAGAAAGAAAAAAAAAUGCAUGAAGAGGGCAUGAAUUUUUUUAUCUAAAAUCAAGAACCAUAACAAGUGCAAACAGGAAAUAUAUAUAGCUCCAAAAUCAGUUUUAUGUAUUUUAUGCAGCUAGCUGUCACUGAUGAAUAGACAAAGAUUCUUGAAUUUUUAGUUUAUUUAGAGGAAAUGAUACUAAAAUGGAUAUAAACAUAUAUAUAUAUAUAUAUAUUAUGCUUUGGUGAACUGCCAUCACGCUAGAUGAAAUUUUGUCAUGUUACUUAAGUUGAAGCUGACAUUAAAGGGUUUUCUAUAUAAAUACUUCUUGAGAAGCUUCCUUCAAACUGUUUAAGUAAUAAAAUACACUAGGACAAAAGUCAUCUCAACAUUUUAAGGAUACUUAUUUGCGUAAAAGAUGAUCAAGUUAUAGCCAAAAUGAAAGGGUGUUCAGCUAAGCUGGCAGUUAGAAAUGAUACACAAUUGAUAAGAUCUGACUAGAGUUAUCAAAGGUGAAAAGCACCAAGACCAGUUGGGGCAUUUAGUGCAAUUAAAGCAUGGGAUUUAGCAAAGAAAGGUGCUUAUGAAGAAAAAAGAGAAGUUACAUAUGUAAUAUAAGAAAAAAAUUCAACCAGUUCAAAUUUCUAAUUAAGAAGAUAUCAAGAUGGAGUUCAAAGUUUGGAGUGACUGGUUUUCUUAAGUUAAAUUUCUCAUUUAUUAUUCCUGAUCAUUAACACAUUCAUUCACAUAUUUUGUUCGUAAUUUAUAUCACUUUCUAUGCUAGUUAUAUUCCCGCUCUCCGCCCAAGAUCCCAAAGAAAGUAGCUUAUUUAUUACACUUCUUAUUUAAUUCCAUAAAAUAUCCUUAAAUUAAGGAGUUGGUGUAGUUGGCCAUGCUAGUGGUGAUUCUAACCCUCCCUUAUGUUUCCUUUCCUGCCAUCCUCAAGAAGGAAAAGACUCUUUCUACUGUCCAGCUAGUGCUUCCCUCUUAAAGACAGUGUCCACGGAUGUAUUAAGGGCCUAAGGUGUUUGUAUUAAGGGCCAAACGUCCAACCUAAGAGUUAACCAGCUUCAAGGUUUAAGCACUCCUAAAGUGGGGUCUAUCGGAAACAACCUCUCUACCCUUAUAAGGUAGGGGUAAGGUUGCGUACACCUCCUUUUCCAAACCCCACUUGUGGGAUUUCACUAGGUAUGUUGUUGUAUUUAUCAAACAAUCCAGUGGCAUGGUGUUAAUCUUUGUGAAGGGCACGAAGGUCGAUAUUUGACUACUACGUAAAAUUACAAAAAAAAAGGAGAAAAGUUUGAACAUUUUAUGAAAUAUAUAUAGCAAACCAAAACUGCAGUUCCACAGUUGACUUUUUAUCCCCAAAGCCAAAUAGGUUAGUCAAACAAAUGAGACCUGUCAAUUACUUAACUAACUAAUCUGAUAUGUCAACAUUCCGAAAAUUAGUACUGAAGAAUCAAUUGAGUUUUCAUCUGAUUAAAAAUUAAUUAAUAGUUCUGCGCACACCUUUCGUGUUUUACCAUAGAGGGAGUGCAAAUCCCUUAACAGGUACUAACUUUAGCAUAGUUCCUAUGUGUCUACCAUUUCCUAAUUAUGGUUCCCAAAAGGUGUGGUCUAGCGGUUAAUAUAGUGGGUGAAAACCUUGGAGACUAGGGUUCAACCCCAGCAGUGACAAAAAAAGGUUAGGUGAUUUCUUUCCAUCUUCCUAAACCUUGGUGGCAACGUUACCAAGUAGCAGGUACUCGGUGGAAUAAUAGAGGUGCAAGCAAGUAAACCCCAACACCACCAUUAUCAAAAAAAUAAAAAGGUUACGUAGAACUGCACACGUCGAGUAUGCUGAUUAAUUCAAGUACAUCUCUCCUAUACAUAUGCUGAUUAAUUUAAGUACUUAUCUACUAUACAUCUAAAAUAUUCCUAUUGAUUAAUGAUUAUUCAAGCUGCCUAAUUCUAUAACAGACUAAAAACGAAAAAAGAAAGAAAGUAACUGGCAGGUAUGAGUUAGGCUUCAAACGUAUGGAAUAUAAAAUAACAAAAAAAUCUGUGCAGCAUAUUGCUUUACGCUAAGUUUGAGUUUUUUAGAAAAAGCUAUACCUGUAUUUCCGAAAGAAUACAUCCAUGCAUUGCCAUUAUCAUGAAAGCACAGUGUCGUAGUGCACCACUGACUCUAGUAUAUUCACCCCAAGGAUAAUUGAGCAUUCUGUAUCGUCCAUGAGGGGGUUCCCACACAGCAAAAGCUAACUGAACCAAGAUACCAAAAUUAGCAACCCAAGAAAACAGAUUUUGUUCCACCAUCCCUAAUGAAUGUCCAAAUUCUUCUUUUUUCUCUUUCCAUCCAAAAUAUUGUAAAGCUACACUAUAAGUUACACGUGCUCUACCUUUAUUCUUUGAUUUCUUUGAUACACAAAACUUAUCAGCCUCAACUAUUAGUUAUAUGUGCUCUACUUUUAUUCUUUGAUUUAUUAGUAUACAAAACUUACUAACCUCCACAUGAUACCCAUUUAAAGUUGAACACUUUCAGACCUUAGGAUAAUAUAGUGCCAGAUGGGACAUUCAACUUGGAAUGGAGGAAAUACAACAUAUUCACAGUUAAGCAUCAAUAGCAACAUAGAAUUACCAGAGAAGCUUCUUGGCUGGUGGACUCUACAGCAGUCCUGUAACCACUGUAGAUAGGAUCAUCAGAUGCCUGGUAAAGAAGAAUUUUUGAUGGUAUCCUAUCGUAUUCAAGACAUUGCAAAUAGUCUUUGACACAACCUAAAAAAGAAGCAUGGCAGAUAUCAGUCAAGCAUAUCAUGUUUAUGUUAUCCCAAGACAACCUAAAUAUAAGAGAUGAAAGAAUCUUUACCUUCCAAAGAAGUAGCGACACCCUUAAAGUUUUUCACCACCAAUUUGUGCAAAUCUUCACCAGCCCAAAUAGGGAAGAUGCAUAUAUUUAUAACCAAACAAACAGCAGCUCCAACCCCAAUAAGUAACAAUCGAGAAACAGCUGUCUUUACAAAAUCCGAAGUCCCCGAUACUAGCACUAUACAAUAUGUCAAUAAGAAAACCCGGAAUCCAUAUUCAUAUUCCUUCAGUGGAGGAUACAAUUUCAUAUAAGUUGCGCAAAAUCCUGAGUGAAAGAGAGAAAGGUAGAGAUGAGAGUAGGAUAGAAGUGAUUUACCGGAUAUAUAUAUAUACACACACGCAUAUUUUCACCAAAAGGUACAAGGAAAUAGAAAGAGAAAGCAAAAGAGAGAGAGAGAGUAUGGUAUAUAUUAUAGGAAAAGUACAGAUUAGGAUAUCAUAGUAUGUAUUAGCCUUGGAACAUAUAAUCAUAUAUAGUAAAUGCCAUUAUUAGCUUUUAUAUCAUGUAGUAAGCAAGCAAACUCUUCCUCUCAAUGUCCCAUUUAACGCUUAGGUAUGAUACAAGAAGAAAAAUGGUGAUUCUGGCUGUGAUAUUGAUGCAUAAGGCACAUGGGAGGUAAGAUAAACUGAAAAAACCUUUCCUUUCCUUUGGAACAAUUAUUAUAGAUGUGUGAUUUUCUUGAAAUCUGAAUUAAUGCAACGUUCUUCAGUAAGCUAUUGAACCUAAGCAUUUUAUUAAGGAUACUAGACUGAUUUAUUCUUCUUUUAUGAAGUUGGAACCCGAGGGGCAUAUAUGUGUCAAGAGGUUCACUCAAUUCAAGAGUGGAGAACUAUGCCUUUGUCUACAUAGUUUCAUUGAUGCUUUAGUUGCGCCUAAUAUAGGUGCUUAUUUUGAGGAGAUAAUAGUUCAGAUUCCUUUCAUCUUUUCGUUCUCCAGUUUACUGUUCAUGUCACCCAAUUGCCAGGCUGGAAGAAGACCCUCUCUGUAUUUCUUUCCUUGUUCCAUUUGUGCUACUAAUCACCUAUAGUUUGAAAUCCUUCUAAUCCAAUAUUCCGAAAAUAAAUAAAUAUAUAUAUAUAUAUAGUCCAAGAAGAAAUUGAAAACCCUCGAAUCCUAAAAUCAAAAUUAUAUGAAGAAGCAAGUUCACGCCUUUCUGCAUAAGCAGCUGUUCAUACCAUGAUUAUGAAAAUUUGGCCUUUUGCCCCCUUCAAUAUUCUUAAGUCAUGAAACCUAUUAAGAGCACGAAUUAAGUAACAGUUCGCAUUGCAUUGAACAGUUGAAAGAUUGAAGCCUAAUUCACAGAAGGAUGCGAAUUAAGUGCUCAAGUUGCAUCAAAUUUAGAAACUUGACAUAUGGUUCAACUUUCAUUUUCUGUCCAAUUUGGCUUUUGUUUUUACAUUUAUUAACUUAUAUAGUCAACGUAUUUAUAGUUUCUAGCUAGAUCUAAUUGAUUCUCACUUCACUUUUUCAAUCUCUAAGCUAAUGAAGAGAAGCAGAAAAAACAAGACAAAAUGAAUACAUAACCUUUUUCAUCAUGAUUCAUACAUAAACACAAUCAUAAAACUUGAAGUAUACUAAAACUCUAAAAAUUGAAUCCGAACCUGCAAUAAAUACACUGAUCACAAUCAAAAUCUCUCGAAAUCCUCCAGCCAUAAGAGACAGUUCAGCAAUGCCCAAAGCUAAUCCUCCAGCAGAAAAUGUCCCCAAAGCCCUGUUAAAUCCUUUGUUAAGCGUUGCACCUACACAUUUAAGUUAUAAUAAUCUCAAAUUAGCAAUAACCCUUUUCUUCCAUCAAUCCAAAAAACAUAAAAGAAACUGCAAAAUUGAUACAUAAAAACAAAUUUUAGGAGAUCCCCUCGUUAGCUCAGUUGGUUGGCUACCCGAACUACAUGAACUUUCACCUUAUUGGUCAGGUUUCGAUUCACCGCCUUGUAAUCAAUCCACUCCCUUAUUUUCCUUCUCCUACCCCAAUUUUCUUUUCUUUUUUAAAAAAAAAAAUGAAAUUUUCUUAGAAUUUAAAUAGUUCAGUUGGUUGAUUGUAACUAUUGAACUUUCAACGGAUUGGAUUCAAUUCAACAUCUUGUAAUCACUUCCGGUAUUUCCCCUUCCCUACCCCAAAUCAAAGAAGAAGAAGAAGACGAGAUUUUCGCAUACCUAUGCUGAAUUCAAAAACGACGACAACAGUAAGAAUCGCCCAAAUGGAGUGGCUACCAAUAUAGGGUAUGGGUUCUUUGAAGAAAAUGAGAAUCGAAACAAGGGCAAGAGCAAAACCCACUUUAGCAGAAAAGAUAAUCUUCCUCGGAUCACUACGACCCAUUUUAACUGCUUUACUUGCAGCUUGUUUGACAUUGUUACAGUACUCAGAAACUCGAUAACGAAUACGUUCUAGAAAGGUCUCGUUCCCAGUAAAAGAACUACCACCACCACCUACACUCAAGUCUGAAUAGCCUUUUCUGAGUAGUAACAAUCUUUCUUUGCUUGUUUCAUGGAAGCUCUGCUUCAAUGAACCCAGAUAUGCAUUGCCUGCUGCCAUUUUUAUUUUUAUUUUGGAUCAAAAUUGUUAGAGAAAUUGAUGAAGAAGUUGCAUGAUUCUUAUAUGGUGUAUAAUCUGAUCUGAAUUUGACUAAAUUAUUGAGAUUCUUUAUUGUUUUCUGUCGUCAAUUGGAUCUCAAGAUUGGAAGUAUUUGGUCUCUGUUUUUUCACAAAAAUCAAUUUUUCUUCCCCAAUUUUUCAUUUUUCAACUAUUAGUCGUAUUUGUAUUAAAUUCCGACUAAUAACUUGAGUUAUUUAUAUGAUCGUUAGAUGUAUUGUAUUGUAUUUAUUUUGUUAUAAUUAAAUGAAGUGAUUGUUUGAUUAUCUGAUUGAAUUUUAUUGUAUCAUUAAAUUGUAAAAAGUCUUAUUUUAUUUCACUAAUGUAAUGGUCUCUGUUUUUUCACGAAAAAAUCAAUUUUUCUUCCCAGUUUUUUCAUUUUUCAACCAUUACUCGUAUUUGUAUUAAAAUCCGACUAAUAACUUGAGUUAUUUAUAUGAUCAUUAGAUGUAUUGUAUUUAUUUAUUUUGUUAUAUUUAAAUGAAGUGGUUGUUUGAUUAUCCGAUUGAAUUUUAUUGUAUCGUUAAAUUGUAAAAAGUCUUAUUUUAUUUCACGAUGAAUUUGGUGUAUGCUUUGAUUAUUAUUUAAUUUAAUCGUUCAACUUUUUAAUAAUAAUUUUAUUUUGUAUUCUAAUGUUUUUUUAAUAAUAUUGUAAGUUAAUUUUUUAAAUUGAUAUGUGAUAUUAUGUAGUGAUAGAAAAAUGAUAUAAUCUACUAAAGUAUUAUAUUUAUUAAAAUAAUAUUACAAAAUGGAAUUUGGAUUUAAUUCAUCUCCAAAAAGCUAGCAUAAGAGAAAGGAUUAUUCUCUUCAAUGUAAGAUUCUUCAUUCAUCAUCCCGCAUGCCUAAACAAAUCGUGCGAUAUUAGUGUAUGCACAAUCAGACAUUGUCAUCUCCUACUGAAUGUGUGAACAUUCUAAUUGGAAGAUUCAAUAUCGAAGGCUCGAUUUUAAUAUUUAAAUAGUUUUGCGUCUGACAUAACUGACAACUCCAACAAUUAGUUAAAAAAAAAAAAGAAGAAUUAUCCAAAAUUAUAUUUGAAAAUUCAAGUCACCUCCGCUGUGAAAUUCUUCAUUUAUCAAAUAUAAUAUAAGAUGAAACAACACGUAACAAUCAUCCAAACAAGUUAUAAUUUGUAACUAAUUUCUCGAUCAAUUACAUAAAAAUAAAUUCUAUUUUUAUAUAUCUUUUCUACUUGCUUAGACUUUACUAUUUGUUUUUCCUUUCUAUUUACUUCUCUUUUUCUUUGUAAAGAAUAUUUGUCAAUUGUCACGCCAUAUAGUAGCAUGCUUUAUUUGGAAAAAAUAUUAUCUCCACUAAAAAAUCAUAUCAAAUUACUAAAUAUUAAAAUAUAAAUAUCUGUAAUUAUAACUAGUACUUUAACAAAAUGAAUAAUAAUAAUAAUAAUAAUAAUAAGGUUUUGUAAGUCAAUGAGCAACCGCCAAUAUAAGGAUAACUAAUAAUUAAUCCUCAUUUAAUAAUGAUAAUGAUAUCAUUUUUCUAAUUAGUCAGCUCUUUUAAUUCCAUUAAAUCAUUAAAAAAUUGAAGUCAAUAAGUAGGCCGGUUGCUUUUACAAAGUUGCACGUAGCAUUUUGGUUUCUCUAUUUGAAUAAAAUAAAAAGAAAUACUAUGAGUAGUUUUAAUAUCCUAAAAUAAACUUUGGAAAACAUUUUCAACCAUAAUUUUCUAUAGUUUUAGAAUAUGAAUAAAAAAAUGAAGUAAUUAUAUUUAUUGUAUAACAACUUUUAGUGGUAGACCAUUUGCUUUUACUAAUUUUUUUUUGUUUUCCACCCGGUGUCCGGAAGCCCAUAUUAGAGUUCCGACUAAAUCCGAAUCGCGCAUUGCAGGGGCCAUUUUGGGGGUGGCGCUCCCAACAGAAUUUUCUCCAUACCCAAGGCUCGAACCCGAGACCUCUGAUUAAGGGUGAAGCACUCCCACCAAUGCACCACAACCCAUGUUGGUUGCUUUUACUAGUUGGUCUACCUGUAGAGGCGGGGAUAAAGCUAGAGAGACAAAAUAGAAUUUAUUCAAAUUUUCUUCAUUAAUUUUUUUUUAUGUAUAAGGUCAAUUUGAUUUUUAUGAAUCUCAAAAGCAUGACUUAGUGAUCGACGAGGUCAAAAUUCCCCAAAGGUUGUGUGACCAAUUCUAAAUUAUUUGCUUUAUUUUUUAAAAAAAAUAAUUAAAACUUAUUUUAGUAUUUUUUUUGUCUGGUAUUGUAGUUACCCAUAGCUUUCAACUAUUUUUUUUUGGUUUCCAUCCGGUGUUCUGAGCUCCAAUGUAUCCAGAUCACGCUCUGCAGGGCCCAUUCGGGGAUGGUGCUCCCAACAGGAUUUUCUCCAUACCCAGAGCUCGAACCCGAGACCUCUGGUUAAGGAUGAAACACUCCCACCAGUGCACCACAACCCAUAUUGGUAUAGCUUUCAACUAUUGAAGUACCAUUUUUCAUAGUAUUUAUUUUCCAUCAAUAGAAGUAAGGCACAUUAUUACUUAUUUCUUUUUCUGGUUUGGUUGUUGCUCAUAGCUUUUAGUUAUUCAAGUGCCAUUUGUUAGGAGAAAUUACAUAAUCACAUUAACAUUAGAAUCAUAUAUACUAAUCCACUUUAUUUUGUGAAAUAAUUAUAUAUUAUCUCACUAAUUAAUAAUUUUGUAUAGAUUUCAAGUCAGAUACGCCACUUCUUAAGAUUUCUCCUUUCUUUCUCUCACUCAUAUGUAUUUUUAGUACCAAAUAAAUUCUGAAACAAAUAAUCGAAACUUUCCAAAAAAAAGUUACGAAUCAAAACAAAACUAAAUCAAUUGCCAAAGUACAUUAAAAAAAGUUAUUGACAUAUAAAAUUAAGUAUUAGAAAAUAUUUUUGAGUCAUUUAUAAUAUAUUAAGGGAAUUUUUGAUCUAAUAGGUAAAAGGAGGUGUAAAUUUGAAUUAUUUUUAAUAAGUUAAGAGCAUUUUUGAUUCAUUAGAUGGAAGCAAACCCAAAUUUGAUCCAAUAGGUGAGAUGACCAGUGGCGGAAGGCUAGAACUCGCGACCUCAAGGAACUUUCACAACAUUUUAACUAGACUAAACCUUCAACUUGUUUUAAGAGAUGUCAGUACUUGUAUAUAUAUUUAUUAAACCAAAAUUUUAGCUCUAUAUGCAAUGUAAUUUUCCAUUUUCUAAAUUACUGUUAUUUCAAAGGAUGAUGGAGCAAGAUAAAAGUAGGAAAUAAUGUGAAAAAUAACAUGAUAAGGCGAAAUAAAAUUAGUCUUUUCCCUUCGCUGCCUUGCCCAAUUUAUCAUACUACAAUCUUUUCGUGCUUAUUUUAUAUUUUGAUUUUGUUUAAUAAAAAUCCUACCUUCAUCGUUGUCUAAAGGCCCAUAUUUCCCCUUUAUUGGUGAUAUGAGAUAGCGAUUAAUAAGUUGAUAGAGCUAACUUCAUAAAUGUUUGUGUAUCUCAUAAUUGAAUCUUCAUGAUUUAUUUCAAUUAUAUGUGCCUUCUGGCCAUCGGAAUUGACCACAAAAAGAGGUUCACAUUAUUUGACAUAUUCAUUUAGGGAUAAAAUUGAAAUUUUAUUGAGAAUCGAAAAGUGCAAUAAUAUCAUAGUAUUCUCUCGAUUUAGCUUCACAAGACUAACUUCUACUGUUAUUGAUAAUAUUAUGCUUAUAUCAAUUUCGUUUUAUCAUAUUUAUUAUUGAUUUGAAAAACAUCAAACUAUAAUAUAGUAAUUAGUUUGUUGUUUUAAAAUAAAUACUUUUUUGUUAGUUGAUUUUGUAUUGCACACCCACACCCAACAAAGCAUUGGAAGGAAGAGAAAAUCAUGGUCAUGGGCAUCUCCCUGGCACUUACAUCUUCAAUGUCCUUUCAAAUUGCAAUAGAUAUAACUAACCAAAAAAACCGACAAACCAAGUCAAAUCGGAAAAAAAUAAUUGCCUAAUGAUUUGGUUUGAUUUGAUAUUGGAAGAAAAAAUCCGAUCAUAAUUGAUUUGGUUUGGUUUUAACUUGAAAAAUAAAAGUCAAACUGAAACUAAACAAAAUAGAGCAAAACAGCAAACAAGAAGAAUAUGAAAAAAGAACUGAGAAAGAUCAAUGGGCAUGUCCUGUCAAAGUUUGCUUCUCUUUGACCACACAAAAGGGGACUGGUUUUCAUAUGAGCAAUAUAUAAAACAUGGCCCAAAACUAGGUAUAACGGCACAUUUAGCGCGUUUUCUCCCUGCCUAACAUUUAAUUCUACUCUCUAUCGCCAAGAAUAACCUGCAGGCUGCAGCUACAUGCCUACAUAGAUAACACGGCGACUUCACAUUCCAACCGUUGCAUGUAGAGCAUGAUCAGGUUUCUGCACGGCAACACAAGUGCUGUAGAGAGGUAAUAACUUACAAGCAAGCAGAGAUUCCUUGAGCUCAUCCCCUUGAGGCUUUCUAAAGCUCCUCUAAUUAAACCUUAAACACGGGCAAGACUCUCAUGGGAUCAAUAUAUCAGGUUGACAACCUCUAGUUAGGGGCCACAUGUAUGUCUUGAGCCUCGUUAAUGAGAACUACACAGAUAACUUAGAAAAGAGUGACUCUGCGAGAAAAAGCAAAUCAAUCAAUUUCUAAAUGUACAAGAAUAGUUGUUGAGUGGAUCAAAUUUUUUGCAGAAGACUUGGAAGCAAAGUUGGAAUGCAUGUAAUAUAUAACAAUGAUGAAAUGUGAGUCUUUGUUGAAGAAGAUUUGGGUAUAUUUGUAGGGUCAGGGUGGGGGCUGGGGCAGGGGAGGGUGCUGAACCAGUGGGGAAACUUACUGAGAGGAGUUCCGGAUAUUGUUUAAUUAAUCAGACAGCAAUAGAGAACGUCUGAAGGGAAAACUGUUAUAUGAUUUUGUUAGGUUAGCUGAUUGAACUUCCCUUGCAACUCUGGAAUUGUUUGAAGUUUUGUGAUCUCCUCUUGAUUAAACUUGCAUUCGCCGUGACACUGACACCUCCACAUGCUCCUUCCUCAGUCAGCUAUUUACACCGUUCAUCCUAAGAAAAGAAUGUCUCUCAGACUAUAUUCUGGAACUUGACAUGCAAUAGCACUCGGGAUUUAUGGAACUUUUGAUCCCACAGAGGACAAGAGCAUCAAUUUCUCAGGCAACGCCAUCAUUUUGCAGGACCAGACACCCUGACAAAUUUGUUCAUCCUGAAGCUUUUUGUAUUCCUCCUCUUUGUGACAGCAGUACUCUUCAACUUGGCUAACUUUUCCCUUCUCCCCUCAAUGUCAGCUUGAAUAACUUUUUCCCUCUUCUCAUUUGACAGCAAAGCAAGCCUCGCAAACUUCCUCGGGUUUACUGGCCCAAGCCUUUCAUUAAUUUCCUUGAAAGCAGGAACAAGGCCACGCCUAAUAAAACAUCCUUCAAUAAGCUGCAUUGAGUUCAUCUCCGGAAGGCUAGGCCUAUUUUUCAACUCAAGAUCUAAGCAAAAUGGGGAAUCUUUCAACCACAUUCUUAAGGAAUGAGCUUUUGCAACAAGUAUUCCAGUCCGAGUUUUACAAGGUAGAAAUGGAGAACCCAUCUCCCAAAGGUAUGCCUUCACUGUACUAUUUAAAGAAACUCUGUUGUAGUCAGAUUUACCAGUAAUCAGUACGACGGAUUUGGGAGAUUCAGGAAAGCCCUCCAAGGAUGCAUCCUGCAGAAACAGUAAGAUUAUGUCAAGCUCUGUUCACUUUGGGCUACCUUCAGGAAACUUUGACAACAAUGGUAAAGUCAUCAAAAGGAUCUUAUAAAGCAACACAACAAAAAAAAAGUACAACAAAUAUAUAUUAAGCAUGGACAUAAAUAAAUAAAUAUUUAUUAGUUCAUUAAGCUAUGCUACAACUAUAAUGCAACAAGACUUCGUUUUAUCCCCUCAAAGAACAAAAACGGAAUUUUGUCAAUGUUAAGUUUGUUAGAUAUAGCUGUAGGGAUCGGCUAAUAAGAUCAGUGCAUUUAAUCACAACUCAAGUUUUAUGAUGCUGCAAUUAAGCAAUUUUGUUUUGAACUCAUCAAUACGAAUCGGCAGAGAGGAGCUAGUUCACAAAUCCCCUAAUUGAAAAAGAAAUCUUUAUAUAGAAAAUAUGGAGCUUUAAAGAGCUUGAACAUGUAUUCUUCCUUUGGGAUACGGUCAUGGAAUAUAAGCUUUUAAAGGAAAACAUUGCCUGCAUAUGGUCAAGCCAUAAUGUGAGACCAACAAGAGCAGCACCCGCAGACAGCUUCCUGAAGUCUGCCCCCCAAUCCUUGUCAGCCACUCUGCAGAAUAAGGUGAACAUCAAUUAGAUAAAAAUGCAAAAAUAGUAAAGCUUCAAAAAUAAGAUUGUCAUGAAAUGCAUGUCACAAUCUUGACGUCCAUGUAAAGAUUUAAGCAGACCCUCCUUGAUCUUAGGUUUGAUGCAACAUUCACAAGUAGCAAUUUUAAACAGGGUCUUCAAUGGAGAGACAAAAAAUAAGAUCAAGGAGGGUCUGCUUAAUUCGUUACAUGGACAUCAAGAUUGUGACAUGCAUUUCAUGACAAUCUUUAAAUUGAAACUUAGUUUUGAUGCAGCAUUCAGAAGUAUGCAAUAACCCCAAAGAAAAGCUGCAAUCCUAGGCUAGUGAAACCUUAACUAUCCUACCUCAGUGUGUGAUUCCUGGGGGUUAAUCACUUAGAACCCAAGUUUCUUGACCCCCACACAGAGGGAGGGGGGGAAUCGAGUUCCAGCGGUGUAUAAUGCACCAUUUGGGUAGUGUAAUGGUUACCUAAGAAACCCUUAUCCAAUAGUAAGUCUACAGCCGCAAUUCCAGCAGGAAUUUGAGUCUGAUUUCAAGAGAACUCCUAAAGGAUUUGAGGAGAACUGGAGAAAGGAAGAUGCAAAAACUGGCAUUUUAAUCUUUCAAAGAGACAAUUAUGAACAACAUAUUCAACAAAUGAUAUCAGAUUCUUCGAGUAAGAGGUGCAAAUCAAACCAAAUUUCAUCUGGAAGAUCCCUGUGCAUUCCAUUAAAAAAAAUACAAAAGAAAUGACAAAAAGAUUAAAUCAAGAGGUUUCCAGAUGCCAUGUAGUUUUUAAAAGUGGGAUAUCUAAGCUAUAGAUCAAAUACACCACGAUUACAAGUAUAGAUCUCCCUAUUAUGUUGCAAGCCAAGUCAAUGUACCUGAAAAUAUCAUUAUGGUAAAUGCUCCUUUUAAUAGCCAGCUGAAAAACCCAUGAGGCUGUGGCACGGAGUUCAAAAGCCCAUAACAGAUCUUCCAAAGCAUUUACAAAAUUCAAUGCUGCUUUAUCCUCUGCGGUUUCAAUUUGCUCCAGGUACAGGUCUAAGUCCAACACCAGAGACUCUGAAUUCUCUGUUAGAAACCUGCAAUUAUGAGACAAACAGUUAAUUGAAGUGAGGAAAUGGAAGAAUAUAGCAAACCCAUCCCUCAAAAGACACCCACACACCCACAAAAUAGAAGUUUUUGAAGAGAGAAAAGAAUAUUAAAUUCAAAUUGUGCCUGAUAGGAAGAUUAAAGCCAGCAUCAGCGACAGCAUUUAAAAGAGUUUUGGCUUCAGUAAUGUAUUCGCAUAAACUAGCGGCCCGGAUAAAGCAAGUCCAUAUCCUGUGAUCUGGUUCUAGACCUUCCCCAAUCAUCUCCUUGAGCUUCAAAAGGCCAGUAUCGUAAUCUCUGCUCUUGAGAUACGCAUCAAUAACAGAGCCAUACUGUAGAGUACUGAGAUUUACACCAUUUGACUUUAGACUAUUCAGCACUUUCUCAGCUUCCAUUGGAUGGCCUGAAGUACCAUAUGAAGUCAUCAGCAAAUGCAUCGUAGCAUCAGAUGGUUCAAUCCCUGAUUCCUUCAUCUUCUCUAUUAGCUUUUCAGCCUUGGAAUGAUUUCCAGAGCUUCUAUACAUUUUCAUCAUUAAGUGAUAAAAAGAACGAUCGAGGUUAUGUCCUUCUGACCUCAGGCUUUCGAAGAGUUCUUCAGCUUGUUCCAGCAUCAGCUCCUUACAAAAUGCAGCAAUCAGGCUUUUAUAAGUGUCUCUCUCAGGGAAUAGACCCAGCCUUUUCAUCUCAUUCACUAACAAAAGAGAUUCAUGAGGCCUACGAUCUCUACAGUACAUUAUUAUCAAAGUAUUGUAAGUAUCCAAAUCUGGUUUGAGUCCAGCUUCUUGAAUUCUCUGGUAUAUGUGCACUGUCUUCUUGAAAUCUUCAAUUCUAGUAUAUAACUUGAGCAUUGAAUUCCAUAUUGAAAGAUCUGGCUUGAAUCCAGCUUCCUCCAUUUCAGAAAGCAUGGCUUCAGCAUCCCUCACUUGUUUAGUUCUGGACAGUAACCCAAUUAUAACUCUAUAAAGAUGCAUGGUAGGUAAAUAUCCAGCAGCUCUCAUUCCAUGGUAAAUUUUCUUCACUUCAAAUACGUUACCAGCUUGAGCAAAUGCCUCAAGCAUCAAAAGAAUGGAACUCUUACUAAUCUUAAAACCCAUAUCUUGCAGUUCCUGGAUCAGAACAUACAGCUCGUUUAAUCUGCCAUCAACAAUUAAUGCUUGCAUGAGAUUGUUUAUGGUAUCCACUGUAGGGGAUGGACCAUUUCUCAUCAUGGUAUUGAAAACAGCUCUAGCUUUCUCAUAGAAACCACUUAAAGCAUAAGCUUGUAUUAAUGCAUUAUAAGCCAUCCUUCCCACAACACCAUACCGAUGUUCUAUAGUUGCCACAACACUCUCUGCCUUUUCAACUAUUUUGAGCUUACCAUAUGCUUCAAUAAGACUUACAUGAAAUGAGAUGUCCCCAAGGAGCAUACCAUUUGCUUCCACCUGGUCAAUCAAACAAUGUGCUGUUUCUGGAAAACCCAUCUUGCAGUAAAUGACAGAGAUUAUCCCGCAAAUAUCCUGAGAAGGUUUUACACCCUUGGCCCUCAUAUCAGAAAAUAUCUGAGAAGCUUCAGCAAACAGUUCAGCCUCCUCGCAACACUUGAUGAGGGACUCAUACACAGAAAUACUGAAUGUAUAUGAAUCACCUGUCUCGCGGUAUUCAUCCAAUGCAGCAUUCAAAUUUUGAGCUUUGCAGUUAAUAAUUAUUGAGGCAUCAGUUAUAAGUUUCUUGGACAUGGACCUGGAAUCAUGCUCUUUCACAAAAUUUAGCAAUUCUAUAGCUUCUGAGAUCUUCCCAGAUGAACUGUAUGAACCCAAAAUAGAUAACAGGUCAUCAUGAUUAAAUUCAGAACCCUCCUCAAUGACUAAUCUCAACAUUUUGGCUGCAAAGUCAUAGCAUUCACCCUUAAUAAGUAGAGAUGAAAUGGAUUGCGGACCCAAAUUACCCAAUUCUUUCAAGUCCUUAAUCACAAUCUGGAUAUUUUCUUCUUCAUUUGCUCUUCCAAGAGAUCGGAGCAUAAAUUCAUAUAGAGCAAGUUCAGGCGUGAAUCCAUUGCGCACCAUGUCAUGAUACAACAACAUUGCUUUCUUGGUCUCACCAAACCUCAGAUUCAUGUCUAGCAUCACUGUGUAAGCCAGGUGAUCCGGAUGAAUUCCAGAACGUACCAUGCAGUCGAACAUAUCUUCUGCGUCAACCCUCUUCCCUGCCUUUGCAUAACCACAAAUCAAGGCACUGUAAGUUCUCACUGUUGGCUUUAUCCCUGCAUUCAGCAUCUCAGACAUCACUUUUGAAGCCUCUGCCAUUUUAUUGUCUUUCCCUAGUGAGUCAAUAAGAAUAGUAUAUGUAAUUACAUCAGGGCUUCGACCAGAAGACGUCAUGUCAUUGUAGACUUGCAAUGCAAGGUCAUGCCGACCCUGUUUCCCAUACAUGUCAAUGAUGGUAUUAUAAGUCAUUUCGUCCUUCCCAAAACCCAUGUUCACCAUCUCUUCACAGAUUUCUUUAACCUUCUCAAUAUUCCCCUGCCUAGCAAAUGCAUGGAGCAGUGAAUUAUAUGUCACUGCAUCUGGAUAAAAGCCAUUUGCCUCCAGUUCAUUGAACAGCCUUGCAGCCUCACCAUCCAUUCCACAUCUCCCAAAAACUGAAAUCAUAGCAUUAUACGUCCACAAAUCAGGUUGGCAUCUAUGACUUUCCAUAUCAUUAAAAACUUGUACAGCUUCCUCAACAUUUGAUUCGCGUGAACAAGCACUAAUCAGAGUGUUAUAAGUUAUUAUGUCAGGUUGAGUGCCCGAACUCCUUACUUCAUCAAGAAGUUCAAUUGCCAGGUUUGGUGUCAUAGGGCCUGAUUUGAGACGCGCAUUAAUCAAAGUAUUAAAACUCACAAGAUCUGGCUCAAUCCCGCGCUCAUGCAUUAAUUCAAGUAACUGUUGAACCCGGGAAAACCUCCCAUUUCUAGCGUAAACACCCAUCAUUGAAUUAUAUACUUGAACUGUGUUUCCAAUACUUUGCUCUGCCCGCAUAAAGAUCUCCACAGCCAAUGCUUCCUGGUUGGCCUUGCCCAGCACAGCAAGUAUUGUUGCAAGCAUCCGGGCAUUCGGAGAAUACCAAUUUCGAAGAUUCAACCAUUCAUAAACCUCCAAUGCCCUUUGCCAACUAGAUUGACCAACCCAUUUCACCACAAAGCAAAAAUCAGUAGGGGUCAUUUGCACCAUCUUUUCAUCCAACACAUCAGCUACAAACUCCUCAGAUUUCAGCCCCAAAAUCUUAUCAGUUAAAAAUUGUACCCUCUGACGCCAAUCUUUCGCCCUCUUGAGCGCAAGUUUCGUCAUUUUCUUCGCCCUAGUCCUGCUGGGUCUACCCAAAACCUCUUGGGUUUCAUCAUUCAGUUGAAACCCAUUUGAGUUCAACGACUCCUCUCCCUUCUCCAUUCCUCUUCCCUCAUAACAACCCACAUUCCCAUCACUUCCCGAAUCAAAUUCAACAUCUUUUACAGACGGGACGGCAACAGAUAACGGGGAGGGCUGUGAACUUUGAUGGGUGUCAGUGAAUUUCAAGUGGGGCCAUCUAGAAGAUGGAGAAGCUCUGGUAUAUGUAAAUUUCUUGGGAGUAUUAUCUCGCUCUUCACUAACAGUAGAACUAGUAGUAGCAGAAUUUGAGGAAUCUAGAGAGCAAGAACAAAAAGGGGGUUUUCGGGUUACCUUUGAUUUUGCUGUUGAGUUGAACUGCGGCGGAGCAAUACUUAGCAGCGCCGUAGAUGCCGCCAUGCCCUUAAGAAAUUGCCUUGGGGAAGAAUUGAAGCUAGUAGAGAGCUUUCUUGUUUGUAUUUGCUGUAAUAGAAAUUGACAAAGAUAUUUGUUGUUUUUUUUUGGCGGGUUGUUUAUCAUAUAUCUCACACUUAUUAUACGGAUUUGCUCAUUAGACAAAGAGAGGGAAAGUUGAAAUUCGGUUACUCGGUUAAUAGUUAUUAUCUUUAGGAAAAAAUAAAUUAUUUAUCUAAUCUUUUUCGAUUUAGCUAAAGCUUGAUUGGAAAGCUGUUCAGAAAGUUUCAAGUAUCUUGAAUUGGUUAUUUAAAAAAGAAGAAAGUCACUAACGACAAUGGUGUAGGGUGAACGCGUUGUAUUUGAGGUCUUAUGUGAUAAGAAGGUGAAGUCAAAAUUUAAAACACAAGUUUUAUAGAGUGAUAGUUAGACUGACUAAGUUGUAUAGGACAAAGUAUUAACUAGUCAAAAAUUCUUAUUUUUAAAAGUCAGAAGUUACGGAAAUGAGCAUGUUCUAAUAGGUGUAAGGGCAUAUUAGGAGAGAUAGAAUUAGAUAUGAAGAUAUCAAAACAAUUUGGGAGAGACUUGGGUGGAGGACAAGAUACGAAAAGUGAAAUGAGAUGGUUCAUACGUGUGAAGAGGAUCUCAGUGUGGACAGAGGCGUAUCCAGGAUCUCAAGAACAUGGGGCAUUAUUAUUUUCAAAAUAGACAAUUAAUUCAAUUAUAUAAAUUUUACGGUGAGAACAAGUUGACGAGCAAGUAGGUAGUAGCAAUCUUUAUAUAGUAAUAUAUUAGCAAAAACAUCAUUCACUUACAAUUGUCCUCGACGAGUUUUCAUAUUUUGAAAACGGUCAAUAAUAGCAUAAUUACUUACAUUUUUAAAUAUACUACGCUUUAUAUAGCAAACUAAACAACCAUUCAAAAGAUCUUCAUCCAUCCUAUUACGCAAAUCAUUCUUUAUGUACUUCAUUGAUGAGAAUGCUCUUUCCACGCUUGCGGUAGCAACAGGAAUAAUCAAAGUUAGCUUCACAAGUAGAUACACAAGUGACCAAGUUUGAUCUAGUUUUGUCUCUAUCAUCACUUUUGCAAGAUCCUUGAUUCCCUUCAAGUUGAGAAACUUGCUAUCACACUUUUGAGCAUAGACAAUAAAAUCAUCGAGUUGAAAAUUGAGUUCCCGAAGCUCUUUAUCACCAAACUCACUUGGGUAGUACUCGGCUAGUUUCAUUAUCCUAUCCUUGUGAAAAUUAGCAAAUGAAUCAACCGGACUCAAACUAGCCAUACCGAGGAGCAAGUCACUAGUCACCACAUCAAAACGUUAUUGAGUUCUUGAAGUGCCAAAUCAAUGACAACAUAAAAUACUUUCACACGAAAGUGAGACAAAUAUGAAAUAUUGGACCUCUUACGCUUCGACUUCCCAUUAGAGUAGUCUUCAUUCAUUUUGGGAAUUGAAAUACCAUGUUUACCAUAAAAUAAGCUAACCUCAUCCAUCAUAGAGUCUCAUUCAUCCUCUCUCAUCAUUUGCAAUCGUUUCUUUGAAAGGUCAAGCAAUCCCAUAGCAUUAACGAUAUCUUGAUCUUUCUUUUGUAAAACUUUAUUCAACUCAUUCGUCAAUAGCAACACCUUAAACAUCAAGUGCAACAUAAAGACAAAUUCAAAUUCAUUAAUCUUGCUCAAAAAAAUUUCCGCCGCAAAUCUAUCAAGAUGAUAUGGACAAUCACGUUUCAUAUACUUAAGCACAUUAACAAUUGAAGAAAAAUGAAUCAGGAAAUUGUCCAAGGUUUUAAAAUGAGACUCCCAACGAGUAUCAUCCGGUCGUUGGAAGCCACGUUCUUGAUUCAAACCUUGCCCUGUAUGAACUUCUCCAAAUUUAAACAACUCUUCCAAUUUAUCUUCUUGAUGUUGUCGAAGUGAAUCUCUGCGUUUAAAUGAAGCUCCAAUAGUAUUCAAAAUAUUAGUGAGAACAUAAAAAAAAUUAUCCACAUCCGAAUUCUUUUUGGAAAGACCUACAAGUGCCAAUUGCAAUUGGUGAGCAAAACAGUGAAUAGAAUAUGCAGAUGACGUAUCUUGUAAAAUCAAAGACUUGAGACCAUUUAUUUCCCCUUGCAUAUUAAUUACUAGCCCCAUCAUAACCUUGACCACGUAUUUUGGAUGUACAUAAUGAGUGAUCCAAAAGCAAAGAAUAAAUUGCCUUUUUUAAUGAUUGAGAAGAUGUAUCAUUUACGUGGACAAUACCCAAGAAUCGCUCUAUCACCAUUCCACUUUUGUUGACAUAUCUCAAAAUUAGAGCCAUUUGCUCCUUAUGAGAAACAUCCUUUGAUUCAUCAACUAAUAUUCCAAAAUAAUCACCGUCCAAGUCUUCAAUGAUAGCCUUAGUUGUUUCUUUAGCACAAGCCUCCACAAUAUCUUUUUGAAUUGUCGGACAAAUCAUCAUAUCAUUUUGUGGAGCAUUACCUAAUAUUACUCUUCCCACAUCAAAACUUCUAUCCCCAUACCAUUUCAAAAGUUCAAGAAAAGCACCCUUAUAUUCGGAACCUUCACUUUCAUCAUGUCCACGAAAUGGAAAUCCCGAUGUCAAGAGAAAUCUUGCUACAUCAAUUGAGGCAUUUAAACGCAUCCGAUAAUCACUUCUUGCCUUUUCACUUUGCUUGUCAAAAGAAGAUUGGAUCGAUUGCCGUUGGUUUUUCAAAUCUUGCAUCCUAUUGAAACAUUUAUGAUGGAUACUAUUUACCUUACCAACAUGUUUUUUGAAUCUUUCUAAAGCUUUGUUCCAACACCUAAAACCAUCUCUUGUAAAUGAAUCUCCGGCAUUUCCACGACUUUCAAGUUCAUUCUUGAACAAAAAACAACACAAACAAAAUGUUGUGUCUGCUUUAAUGCUAUAUUCCAACCAUUGAGAUCUUCUCUUAAACCAAGUUGGUCGAAAUUGACGCAUUUUAUCUCCAAACUUAGUUUUAGGGAAGAUAUGAUCAACAGGUUGACAUGGCUUUUUUUGAAUGUAAUACCUCCUUACCGCAUUUCGAAUAUUAGGACAAUAAGAUGAAAUAGGCAUUCGAUCUUUGGGAUCUGCUUCCAGAGAUUUAAAAUCAAGUAUAUUAUCCAUAUUUGAAAGUGGAAAAGAAUUUGUAUGUCUUUGAACUUCCGGAGCAACUUGUGAACUCACAAAUGGUUGAUUAGAGCUAGAACUUGGUUGGCCAUCUUUUGGCUUUGGUAACUUGAUGAGAAACUUAUCCAUUUAUGAUUUGAUGAAUUGAUUGUAAGAAUUAUUUUACCUACAAAAUUAAAUAUUCACACUUCUAUUCAAUCUUAUAAAAACAAAAUAAUUUUUAAAAAAUAUUAGCACAAAUAACAAGUUUACUAAUAAAAGAAUCACAAUUAUUAGAUAACUAUUAGAAAUCAAGAAAUUCUUAUAAAUUUAAAUAUUCAAGCAAUCAAAUAAUGGAACCACUUCAUAAAUCAAGAAAAACAUAUAAAACAAAUAAAGUACAUUAAUAAAUAAUUAUUUUUUUUAGAUAACAUACCUUGUUACUUGUUCUCAAAUCUCACUUCUACUUCACCAUGAACAACAAAGUGGAAAUGUGGAAUGAAGCCAAAAGAAGAACAAUAUGAUGUCUUUACUCCUUUUUACCUUUUAGUUUAGGGCUUUGAAAAGUCAAAAGAAAAAGUUAAAAAAAAAUAAUAAGAAAAACGUCUAAAUAAAGAAGGAAAGGAGAAAAAGAAAGUAAAAAAUAUAAUUUGACUUUAUUGACACUUCUAGCUUAAGGUCUAGACAUAGCUAAUGCAACCUAAAAAUAUGGGUAUUUGAACCUCUUUUUAUUUAUAAAUUAUUAAAAAGAUCUAUGAAAAGUGGCACAUUUUGUUAUAUUAAUUAAAAAUUAAAAAUAUUAAUGUGGAUAGAAAAAUUUGAACCACAAAUCUAUAAGUUAUGCACCCCCUAUUUGUACUUACUUAUCAAUAUACUAGANNNNNNNNNNNNNNNNNNNNNNNNNNNNNNNNNNNNNNNNNNNNNNNNNNNNNNNNNNNNNNNNNNNNNNNNNNNNNNNNNNNNNNNNNNNNNNNNNNNNNNNNNNNNNNNNNNNNNNNNNNNNNNNNNNNNNNNNNNNNNNNNNNNNNNNNNNNNNNNNNNNNNNNNNNNNNNNNNNNNNNNNNNNNNNNNNNNNNNNNNNNNNNNNNNNNNNNNNNNNNNNNNNNNNNNNNNNNNNNNNNNNNNNNNNNNNNNNNNNNNNNNNNNNNNNNNNNNNNNNNNNNNNNNNNNNNNNNNNNNNNNNNNNNNNNNNNNNNNNNNNNNNNNNNNNNNNNNNNNNNNNNNNNNNNNNNNNNNNNNNNNNNNNNNNNNNNNNNNNNNNNNNNNNNNNNNNNNNNNNNNNNNNNNNNNNNNNNNNNNNNNNNNNNNNNNNNNNNNNNNNNNNNNNNNNNNNNNNNNNNNNNNNNNNNNNNNNNNNNNNNNNNNNNNNNNNNNNNNNNNNNNNNNNNNNNNNNNNNNNNNNNNNNNNNNNNNNNNNNNNNNNNNNNNNNNNNNNNNNNNNNNNNNNNNNNNNNNNNNNNNNNNNNNNNNNNNNNNNNNNNNNNNNNNNNNNNNNNNNNNNNNNNNNNNNNNNNNNNNNNNNNNNNNNNNNNNNNNNUUUUUUUUUUUAUCAGACUACUAAUUACGAACUUAACUUAAGUUCUUGAGUCUAUCAUAAAAAAGUUUCUUUAUCAGAUUACUAACUUCAUUAAGUUCUUGAAUGUAUUUGCAACAUUGUACAUGUUCCAUUUGAACCCUCAAUUCUUUGACAAGCAAGAACAAAUCAGUUUGACAAUGACCAACAAGGGUUGUGGUGGAGUGGUAAGUAUUCCUUCAUCCUUAAUCAAGAAGUCUUGAGUUCGAGCCCCCUUGGGUACGGAGUCACUUUUGUUAGGGAGCGCUUUACCCCCAAUGUGAAACUUUCCGGUGCGAAUUCAAAUUUAAACAGGCUCCAAUGUGGGUAUCCGGACACCGGGUGAAGAAAAAAAAAAGCUUGACAAUGACAUAACAGUCUAUAAAUUUUACCAAGUUGAUUUUACACUUGUCCAACUCCUGUUCUGCAAUUGUGAGUGCAGUCAAAGUAUCACAUAGUUCACCCUCCAAGUAGGGUGAGCAUAAACACCGGAAAAUUGAAAUAGAAUUAAUUCAAUUUUUCAAUCUUUUUUAUUUUUCAGUGUUUCGAUUCGACUUCGGUGUUCCCUUUUUGGAACUUCGAUUUUUUCAGUUCCGUGUAAGGGUCACGUUUUUUCAGUGCACCGAAAAAUUGAAAUUUUAUUAACUAAAAUUUAAAAUUAUAUAUUUUGUUUGAGGCCAAUAUUAAAAGAUGAUUGAUUAAAAAUUUAAAAAUUCAAAAUAUAAAGUGAUUUGUUUUGUUAUAACUUAUAAAUAUAUAACCAUGUUAACUGGAAUCGGCCAGAAGGGCCAUUUAAUUACGUGAUAACUAGACCAAUGUAACAUCUUGCUUUAUUUUGUAUGCAACUUAUGUUAUAUUAGGAGUAUUUGACAAGUACAAUCUUCUAGUAUAGAUACUUUUCUUCUUUGAAGAUUAUAAAGCUAAGUAAAUACUUUUUUUGAAUGUAAUACCUCCUUACCGCAUCUCGAAUAUUAGGACUAUAAGAUGAAAUAGGCAUUCGAUCUUUGGGAUCUGCUUCAAGAGAUUUAAAAUCAAGCAUACUAUCCAUAUUUGAAAGUGGAAAAGAAUUUGUAUGUCUUUGAACUUCCGGAGCAACUUGUGAACUCACAAAUGGUUGAUUAGAGCUAGAACUUGGUUGGCCAUCUUUUGGCUUUGGUAACUUGAUGAGAAACUUAUCCAUUUGUGAUUUGAUGAAUUGAUUGUAAGAAUUAUUUUACCUACAAAAUUAAAUAUUCACACUUCUAUUCAAUCUUAUCAAAACAAAAUAAUUUUUAAAAAAUGUUAGCACAAAUAACAAGUUUACUAAUAAAAGAAUCACAAUUAUUAGAUAACUAUUUAGAAAUCAAGAAAUUCUUAUAAAUUUAAAUAUUCAAGCAAUCAAAUAAUGGAACCACUUCAUAAAUCAAGAAAAACAUAUAAAACAAAUGAAGUACAUUAAUAAAUAAUUUAUUUAUUUUUAGAUAGCAUACCUUGUUACUUGUUCUCAAAUCUCACUUCUCCUUCACCAUGAACAACAAAGUGGAAAUGUGGAAUGAAGCCAAAAGAAGAACAAUAUGAUGCCUUUUACUCCUUUUUACCUUUUAGUUUAGGGCUUUGAAAAGUCAAAAGAAAAAGUUAAAAUAAAUAAAUAAGAAAAACGUCUAAAGAAGGAAAGGAGAAAAAGAAAGUAAAAAAUAUAAUUUGACUUUAUUGACACUUCUAGCUGAAGGUCUAGACAUAGCUAAUGCAACCUAAAAAUAUGGGUAUUUGAACCUCUUUUUAUUUAUAAAUUAUUAAAAAGAUCUAUGAAAAGUGGCACAUUUUGUUAUAUUAAUUAAAAAUUAAAAAUAUUAAUGUGGAUAGAAAAAAUUGAACCACAAAUCUAUAAGUUAUGCACCCCCUAUUUAUACAUACUUAUCAAUAUACUAGAGUAUUCUUUUUAACCUUGGGUUCACCAAUACAAAUUUAAAAAGAUAAUUAGAAAAAUAGUAGUAUUAUAUAGGGGUUAGGAAGGGGAGGAUGGGUGCAUGUGAACCCACUCCCCUUCAUGUACAUAUGCCUCUGAGUGUGGAACUGUGAGAGAUUGGUUAUGGAUGAUUUUAUUAUGUGAGGUAGGAAUAGAUCGAAAAAAAUAUAGAGGAGAUGUGAUUAGACAUGACAUGAAGCAGAUCCAACUUACUAAGAAUAUGACUUUAGAUUUUAAAAAAUGGAUAAAGCAUUAAGAUAGAAGGUUAGUAGAUAGCAAUGUAUUGUCUUGUUAUCCAUUCAUACGGGUAGUAUUGCUCUCGUAGGUUUUGGUCCUUUUUAUAGUUUCUGUUAGUAUUAUUUGUUGUCUUAUAGUUUGACUAUUAUGUUAUAUUAUUGUAGUUACUGAUUUUUUGUAUUUUUAUUACUUUUUCUUUUCCUUUUUCUAAUUAAACUAUUUUGGAUUAUAUUUUUUCUUGAANNNNNNNNNNNNNNNNNNNNNNNNNNNNNNNNNNNNNNNNNNNNNNNNNNNNNNNNNNNNNNNNNNNNNNNNNNNNNNNNNNNNNNNNNNNNNNNNNNNNNNNNNNNNNNNNNNNNNNNNNNNNNNNNNNNNNNNNNNNNNNNNNNNNNNNNNNNNNNNNNNNNNNNNNNNNNNNNNNNNNNNNNNNNNNNNNNNNNNNNNNNNNNNNNNNNNNNNNNNNNNNNNUUUUUUUUUUUAUCAGACUACUAAUUACGAACUUAACUUAAGUUCUUGAGUCUAUCAUAAAAAAGUUUCUUUAUCAGAUUACUAACUUCAUUAAGUUCUUGAAUGUAUUUGCAACAUUGUACAUGUUCCAUUUGAACCCUCAAUUCUUUGACAAGCAAGAACAAAUCAGUUUGACAAUGACCAACAAGGGUUGUGGUGGAGUGGUAAGUAUUCCUUCAUCCUUAAUCAAGAAGUCUUGAGUUCGAGCCCCCUUGGGUACGGAGUCACUUUUGUUAGGGAGCGCUUUACCCCCAAUGUGAAACUUUCCGGUGCGAAUUCAAAUUUAAACAGGCUCCAAUGUGGGUAUCCGGACACCGGGUGAAGAAAAAAAAAAGCUUGACAAUGACAUAACAGUCUAUAAAUUUUACCAAGUUGAUUUUACACUUGUCCAACUCCUGUUCUGCAAUUGUGAGUGCAGUCAAAGUAUCACAUAGUUCACCCUCCAAGUAGGGUGAGCAUAAACACCGGAAAAUUGAAAUAGAAUUAAUUCAAUUUUUCAAUCUUUUUUAUUUUUCAGUGUUUCGAUUCGACUUCGGUGUUCCCUUUUUGGAACUUCGAUUUUUUCAGUUCCGUGUAAGGGUCACGUUUUUUCAGUGCACCGAAAAAUUGAAAUUUUAUUAACUAAAAUUUAAAAUUAUAUAUUUUGUUUGAGGCCAAUAUUAAAAGAUGAUUGAUUAAAAAUUUAAAAAUUCAAAAUAUAAAGUGAUUUGUUUUGUUAUAACUUAUAAAUAUAUAACCAUGUUAACUGGAAUCGGCCAGAAGGGCCAUUUAAUUACGUGAUAACUAGACCAAUGUAACAUCUUGCUUUAUUUUGUAUGCAACUUAUGUUAUAUUAGGAGUAUUUGACAAGUACAAUCUUCUAGUAUAGAUACUUUUCUAUUCUUUGAAGAUUAUAAAGCUAAGUAAAUAAUAGUUAUGUAUUUAACAGUUAUUAGAUGCCAUUUGAUUGUUAUCAAUUCUCACGUCCCUGUUGUAGAAUAAUUAAGUGAAUUUCGUACGAGGAACGUGUAAGAUAGACAAAUAAUACUUCCUGCGCCCAUAUGACAUAUUUAAUUAGUUUAUGUCUAGGGUUAUAUAUAUAUAUAUAAAAUAAAUUUAGGACCCGUUUGACCAUAGAUUUUUCAAGUAAUAUUUGGGGGGAAAUUUGGCAAAUAGUGUUUGUUCAUACAAUUUGUCAUUAUUUGACAAAUAUAUAUCCCAAAUUCCCAAAUACUAGUUUUUUCUAGUAUUUGGGCCAGGUCUCAUUAUUUGGGAUCUUUUAAAAAUUGAAAUUUUACACCAAACUUUUAUCUUUUACAAAAACACCCUCUAUAAUAGUUGUUUGCAUUGUAUUACAUAAUUUUGUACGUGAACACCAUAGUAGUGAUGAAAUAUUCAGUGAAUAUGAAAGUACUGAUAUGGUUGUUGAUGAAAAUGAUGAACAAUCGGUUCAGGUAACAAAAUCAUGUGUUUUGUCUACUUCACGACGUAUGGAAUGAUACUUGUUGCAUUCACUCCAAACUACCACAUUGCUCCAGUGUCAUGGACACUACUUGUUAUUUGUUGCAACGAAGAUUCAAUUGACUUGUAAUACAAACUUAUGGUUAGUUUUGAUAGUUUUUAAAACUUAUAGGUAUAAAUCAUAUUUUUCUUAAAAAAUGAAAUAUGUUUUUCAAAUACUAUGACCAAACACAUUGUGAAAUUUCACCCAAAUAGUAUUUGGAAAUCUAUGGCCAAACGCUAGCUUAAAAUCGUGGUUCUAUCUUUCCCAUCCUAUAAUUCAUUAUCUUUGGUCCCAGAGGGAACAAGAGUGGGAACAAGAGUGCAAUAAGAUAGGAAGUUACAUGAAAAGGCAGAAUAGGGACAAAGUAUUGGAGAGUAGGGACAGGUGGAGUAACAGAUAAUGGGCUUGCCGUAGUGGUACGGGACUCUAUAGGAUAGAUGAGUGAGGUGGAUAUGACUAUCAUUUAUUAUAGGGAAAAUAGUUAUGAACCGAUAAAGUUGGAUAUUUUGGAGGCCCAAUUGCUAAAGUGCAUUUCCCUAUCUUGGUUAGCUUCAAUUUUGGAUUACUCUUUAUCUUUUUCUUAAGUUGAUGCCAUUGGCACAGCUAUAUACGUAACUAAUCACUUUCCCAAUUCCAAAUGAUAAAGACUUUGAAAGUAACGUAAUAUUCUGAAAGCAAAAAGUUCAUCAUUAGUAGUUACGUAGCAGUGGUAAAAGACACCCAUAACUCCCAUAUUACAUUACCAUAUGAACGAACCUUCAAAAGCAGUGCAGCUUUUAAUACCUUAUUAGUCUAUACUGCACCUUAAAACUAAACUAGAGACUCGCAUAAACACAAACAAACAGCUUUACUUGUACCCAAUAUAUAUAGUUAUAAAGCAAAUUUACUCAAGUACGUGAAAUUAAUUAAGCAUGGGCUUCUCCAAGUCCUCGAGAGGGCGGAAGAAUGUCUUCUGCUCCAAAAUAGAUUCAGCAGUAGCACCAGUGGCGGGUGGGGAGUGAAAGCCACGUUCCGCGCCAGCAGAAUCAGUUGCUGCUGGCCCGAACACCCCAGUUUGUGGGUGAGGAGCCCAGUAUUUUUCUGAUUGUGGCUCUAUCACUUCAUCAGGCACAACCGAAUCGCGCACAUGAUCCUCCGGGUUCUUGUCGUACACUGAUGUCUGCACUCCCCUCCUGUGUACAACAAUCAAUCAAUUACUUACUAAUUCAAUCAACAAUGUAUAGGUACAAGAUAUAUAUUAGGCCUUGGAAUUAUAUAUCUCAGUCCAAAAUUUAAUUGAUUUAGUGCCCAAAUGUCGGGUCUACUCACGUGAUUAUGUCGGUUUCCUCCUAAUAAAGAACUUGAAACCAACCAAUCAACUUUAAUUAUACGUACGGCAUAGUUGGAAAUCUGAUAUUGGUAUCUAUAACUAGUCAUGACUAGUUUCAUUGUAUUCCUAGCUCUCGUUUGAUUAUAGAUUUUGAAAUUUAUAAAAUUAAAUCUAUGCACAAACAAUAGCUCAACUACUGUAUGUGGGGCACAGCAUAAUUAUUGAUCAUGGUGGUGGAUACAGGUCCCAUUCCCCAACCCCCACCAAGAAGGAACAGUGUCAACCAUUAAUCAUCAGCAAUAUUGUUGCUUCAAAAAAAGGCAAAAUAACUCCAGCCCUACAUGUCUAAUCAAUAGCUUCUAUCUAAUACUAUAUUUUUAUCUUCAUCUUUUGGUUUUAUAUGGGUCCCUAAAGUUUCACCUACAGACCUACACCUACUCACCUAUUCUUUUCUGAACUUUCCAAGCUUCUAUGAGAUCAGGUUAGACGGUUACAUCUUUACAUCUAACUUUUUUCUUUUUCUAAUAAAUGCUAAUCGUCAUCUAACCGUGAAAUACAUGCAAAUGGAGUAAUAAAUUUCGUAAUUUAGGAAAAGAUUAACGGUUCAGAUCAAUUGUAACAUGUGUGUGUUAGGCUCAGGGAACAUUAUCUGUGCCAGAAAUUCUUAUUAGUGGGUGAGACGUCCUUAUCCGAUAAGCACUCCACUUCAGCACGCACUAUAUUGCUUUGAUAAACAAGGAAGAAAAAAACGUGACUGACAGAAGUAUGCCUAAAAUAAUGCUUUGGUGAAAAUAACAUGAUUCAGCAUCAGUGUUUCUGGAAAUACAUUAAACAGGAAACAAAUCAGAAUAGCAAAUCGCCAGAUCAGAGAGACGAAUACACUUAUAACUUUCCGGGAAAAAAAGCAUAUGCCAUGACAAAUCGGACCAAAAAAUCUCAGCUAGUUAGCUAGAAGACGAGUACAGUAGCUAGAUCUGGAAAAAAACAAACUAAAACUGGUAAAAUGCAACGUUUAGCUUCUACAAGUUGUAAAUCUAAUUGAAAUGAUCUCGUAUUUGAUCUGUAAUACCAAAUACUGGAAAUCAUAAACCUAAGAUCCUUCAUGCUUACUCUUGCUCAAUGGAAUCAUUAAAUUUGAGGAUCAAAAUCAGAGAGAGAAAGAAGCAUCGUAAACUCCGAGCAUUGUUUGACCAACAAAUUCAUCCAUUACAGAACUUAGCAGAGUACAAAAGGAUCGCAUAAUUUUCUCAGAAAUUAAGCAAAAAUCACAAAAUACUACUUGUAGUAAACAAAUAUCGAACAUUAAGCUCAUCUAUACGAAUAAAUGCAGUAGAAAGCAAACACUGUACACUGAAUAGGUACACCAAAACUGCUAACGCAAAACGGUAAAAGGACAAAACAACAUUCACAGAGAUCAAAUUUAGAACCAUACCUUCCAGAGAGGGUAGGUGAAUUAGCAGUAGUUCGAGCACUUGCGUAGUUGAUCUGGUUAACAACACGCUUCCCCAAGCUCACGAGUCCACGGCCCUGCAAAUUGGCGGCCAUACAAUAUACACUAAGGAAGAAGAAGAAGAAGAAAAAAAUGGAGUUUCUGAAGAGAAUCUGAAAAUUCACAGAGAUAAAGAGCAAAGCCCCUGUGUGAUGAUGAUCACACUCUUUGCCUAUCUCCCCCUUUUUUUAUAGUGAAAAAAAUGAGCUGCAUUUCUCUUUCGCACCUACCCCAGUACAACGGCGUACAACUUCCGUUUCAUUUAACGGCAACCGGUACGUUAACAGAAUAUCCUAUUCUUAAUUCCUUUUUAAUUCUGUCGCUUAAUGGAAUUAUGGAUCUUAAAAACGAUUCCGGGUAUCUUAAUUAUACUGUGUUCUUUACUUUUAAUAAUCCUCCGCUAUUUUAAAAAUAGAUUUUUACUUUUAACACAUCCAACUAUAGUAUAAUUUCUUCUUUAGACCUAACAUUAAACAUUAAUGAAUAUGUACACAUUAUUUCUCAAGGUGAAUGUAAAAUCUAGACAAAUAAAAGUAAACGGAGGGAUUAAAUAAUUUGAUUAAUUAAGGGAAAAGUUAUUUGGUAAUCUUGGUGUACGACAAGGACACCGUUACCUCCGUUAAGUUAUCAUUGUCGCAUUGUAUUUUGUUAAAUGACUAUCUUACCCUUGAAUUGUCCCAGUACUCUUGUUGCCAAGUAUUAACAUUAUCUAGAAUUAACACGCGGGUUUUUAGUGUGGGGCGGAGAUAAAAUUGUCAAACAAGUUUUACAGAAAAUAUCAAAAUAGUCCCUUAUGUUUAUGGUAAGUUCAAAUUAGUCGUUUAAGUAUUUUAUUGAAUAGUUUAAUCAUUUAAGUUUAGUCUCUACAGAAUACAGAUACUUUACAUAAUACAAGCCAUUUCUAUUAUAUUUGAUUUGAUGAAAACCAUAAAAAAAAGGAAGGAAAGGAAUAAAAAAUACCCCUUAACUUUCAUUUAUUAAUUAGCUUCACCAUUUGUCAUACUAUUUGACGGUUUAUAUAGUUUUACCAUCAUAAAAUGUAUCAUUCAUAUCCCUUAUAAAAAAAUUCUAAUCAGAUCAAGUGCUAGUAAAUUUAGUUAGAUGCGGGUUAGAUUAGGGUGUUGAUUUUUUUUAUUUCCAAGCAUAUUAGAUCUGAUUCGGGGUUUUCCAUCUAACAAGAUGUAUGAAUAAUAAGUUUUGUAACGAUAGUGCUAUAAACAUACAAACAAUAUGAUGAAGGGCAAAAUUCGCUAAGAAAUGAAAAUUGAGGGAUAAUUUUUAACCCUUUCUCAAAAAUAAAUUUGCAAAAAACUCACAUUUGAAAUUGCAUGCUAUACAACUUUUACUCCCUCUAAUUUUUUUUUAUGUGCAGUAUAUCGCGUUGCGAUUUUUUUAAUUAUAGGUGCUCCAUUUUAUUGUCAGUAAAGGUCAAAUUUUAACUUAACUAUGCUCUCGGUAGAUAAGAUAGGUAUCUAUACAUUGAUAAGAAAUAUUUGAAUUUUUGAGAAGAGAGGAAUAGUGAUGGUCCCCCACGGACAUUUGGCAUUUUCAAUUUUUUUUAAAAAAAAAUAUUUAUUUGGAUUUCAUCUCAAAUCCAACGAUAAAGUUUGCUAAAAUAUUUGUAAGUUUCAAAAAAAAUAAAAAUUGUAUGAAACAAUACUGCUCUCUUUUGGAAAAUUUAAAAGAAUAAAAUUUAUUUUGAAAUAUAUUUAAGUGUUCAUUUUGAACCUAUCACAAAAAUAUAGGGACACAUUAGUCUUUUUCUAUAAAUUUUUUAUUUAUUUCUUCUUCUGUAUUAAUUUUAUCUGCUUCCUUAAAUGGUGAACAGAAUAUUGCUGAUUAGAUAUGGAGUCACGCCUACUUAAAAGAAGAUUAUCCAUAUACAUAAGCUUAACAAAAUAAAAAUAAAACCUUCUAGAUAUUAAAAUAUUACCUAACAUAUAGGGUGAUAUAGCUAAUUUUUGUCAGCACUUGGAAAAUUAAUGAAUCUAUAAUUUUGGUUUAAGACUUAAAAUAUUAAAAGACACGUCAUAAUCUACUUCAUAAUUAAAUUAUGUUGAAAGUUAAGCAUAUUAUAUAUAUGUUUGUCAAAUAUUUUAGUCAAAUCGUGGAAAGAAAAAUGAAUUUGAGAGUUAGACGUGGCUCCAUUACUACUAUUAAGUUGGAAUCCAUGUGUUAAUAAGGAUCUUUGUAUAUUUUCUUUAAUAGGUAUAAAAAUAAAAUAAUGUUUAUCCAUUUUAACUAGAUUUAUGAGUUUUUAUAAAAGUGUGUGAGUUUACAAUUUAUUUAUGCCUUUCUCUUUGAGUUUUAAUGUGAAAUUUUGAUUAAAAUCAACUCUAAUUUUCAUCAAACUAUUUAAAUUGAGAUAAAAACUCCAAAUGAUAUUUUCGAUUGCUUGCAAUAACACCCAAUUCAAACAAAUAAUAAUUUCACAAAACUCAUUUUCACAUAGUUUAUCUAUAUUUUUUCGUGCCUUCGUUAAUCAAAAUCACAAUUCUCUCCCUUUUUAACUCGUAAUUUUUUUUUUCUGUUUCACACCCAAUUGUUUGAUAUUUGCUUUAUAACUUGUCGGUUGGUUAUUACAUAUGGUUUCAUUACAUAUAGCAUAUUGUAUUGUAUUACUGUAUAUUUUGAUAAAUAUAAUAUUUAAAUAAACUGUAUUAUUUUUUAUCUUACAUAAUUUCACACAUCAAUAAUUUAGAGAAUAAACUUACAAUAGAAUUAUUAAAUAAUUUAAAACUAUUUAUUUGUACCCAACUCCUUUGAUGCUAAAUGGUUUGCCAGCAGUAGAUCAAUGAGGGGAAUGUAAUUUUUAACCCACUAAUUUAUGUUAAAAGACAAUUGUAGUUCAAUAAGUGGGAAAAUGCCAAAUCUAAAGAAUUUUUAAUUCAUUAGAGAGAUUUUAAACCUUUUUCAUAUUUAAAGUACUAACAAUAGAAUAUACUCUUAAUACACAAUAGGUAACACCCAUCCAAAUAAACAAUUAAGUUUCAUUAAAAAAAUACUUUAUUUUUAUAGCUUGAAUUCUAGAUCUUUUAAGGUUCUAACAAAUACUCUCUCCGUUCUUAUUUAUAUGUCGUUUUUAGUAAAAAUAAAUGUUCCUUAAUGCUUGUCAUUUCACAAAAUUAAUAUAUAAAUGAUAUUAUUUUUCCUAUUUUAACUUUGAGAGUUAUUAACCUCAUUUGACCAACAUAGAAAAACUAAGUAAUUAAUUGAAAUUCAUAGAAAAUUUAACUUUAAGUGAACACUAAAUAAGGAUACAAUGGCAAACUUACAUAAUUUUUCGAUGGAUGUGAAAUCUAAAAUGAUGACAAUAGGAACGGAGGGAGUAUUGAAUAACACUUAUCAUCCAAUAUUUAUUGGUACUAUAACUCAAGACAUGGUACUAGAUAUCCAUUCAAUUAUUGUGUUAUAUUGCUCACGUACCAAAUUUUCAAUUGUGGAAUCUAUGUAAUUUAAGUGCUCAUAUUGAUUAAAAUAUGGGUUGUUAUCCCAUUAUAUAACCUCUAAAUCUCUUCUAAAUAAUUAAAAUUAAAAUGUGUGGCAAAAUUUUAAAUUAAGAUACAAGUGGCCUUUACUUUUGUUAUAUAAAUUUUAUAAAAUACAGAAUGAAUUAGUCUCCAUCUUAACCAUUAUUCCAAUCAAAGGAUGAUUUGAGCAUAUGCUAAAUUCCACAUAUAGCUAAAUGGGGAAUGAGAUCGAAAGAAUUUCAACUUUUGAAAAGUACUACACCAAAACAAAGUCAAACGUUAAUAUUUUCAAUUAACUUUUAGUCACUUUGAUUUAGGUGACAUUUUGUUCUUUGAUUCGAAUUUUUUAUUAUUCAAUUUAAUCCUUCGUAAGUGCAUACCAUACCAAAUCAAAAGUAAUUUGAUUUGAUUUGAUUUAUAUAACAUGUAACUAUCAUAGAGUUAUAUUAAAUUGAAUUAUUCAUUUCUUUCAUUGGUGAAUUACUUAUAUGCACCGUUCUGAAAAAAGAAAAAAAAACAUUCCAUUCCAAGCUAUUUGGGUUCCAGUCUAAUAAGUGAUUUUUUUUAAAAUUUCCUAUUCGGUGCUCCGGAGCUCAUAUUGGAGCUCCGGCUAAAUUCAAAUUGUGCACUGCCAGCCUAUUUGGAGAUGACGUUUUUAAUGAUUUUUUUUUAUAUCUAAGGCUCGAAUCUGAGAGCUCUACCAAAUAUAUGAUGUUUGUGGAUAUUGUUCGCCAAACCGCUAGUUCUGAACUUUAAUUUUGCAAUUUGCGGUAUUUAUUCUGAAACUUUUUAGUGCAUAAAGCUUGUAAGGUUGAAAGUGAGAGAUCAUACCACCAAAGAUUGGUGGGCCGUAUUAACCCCUCUAUUUUUAAUUAAAAUUUUUGGAUAUGAAUGAUGCAAUAAUUAAUAAAAAAAAGAAAAGUGUUUGAAUUAUUGGUUUCAUCAGUGAACUAUUGACAGUCUUAAAAUAAUUCUUUACUUGACUAACUGAACUUAAAUACAGUCUGAUCUUGCAACAUGAGAGUGAAAUACACCUCUUAAUUAUCGUCAAGUUUAAGAGUGUUUUCAACACUUCUCUCGACUUUAUAUUAAGAGUUUCAUGCUCCUACAAGCGUACUUUGGGACCACUUGCUAUAUCAUGUGUCAGAUCAACGGUGUAUAACUAUAUAUAAGUUUAGUUAGUCAAGUAUAUAAGUGUUUCUAAGACAGUCAAUAAUUCAAGGACCGAAACUAAUAAUUUACACCAAAUUCAGGAGUGUUUUCAAUAUUUCUCUCAUAAGAUAAAUAGUGUUGAUAUGAAUUUAUUUGUUAUCUUAAUUCUUUCUUUCUAAAAUUUUUCAUAAUUUGAAAGUUCAAACAAUAUUUUUCUCGAAGAAAUUUCUUUUAUAUAGGUGUAAAUUAAAUUUAAAAUAAAAUAGCCUCCAAAACUUUAAUAGAAAUAGAAUCCGUCUAGUAGAAUACUACGAAAUUUCUAUGUCUACACAAACAUGAAAAGACAUAAAAAAUAAUUCUUAAUUGAGUGAAUUAUAGAUCAUAAUCCAAUUUCCCGGAAGCUUCGUAGCCUAGUUGAUAGUUCAACGUAAUUUUAAACCAAAGCUUUGAAUAAUUUUUUGAAAAAGUAUUUUCCACAAUUUACUUAAUUCUCUGCGUUUGGAUAUACUAUAUGAAAUUAUGAUUUAAAAUUAGAUUAAUUUAAAGUUGAAAUUUUAUUUGAACAUGUAAUAUUUUAAGUUAUAUUUUUUAAUCAAUAUGAAAAUUCACAAAUUCUGAAAACUAUCAAAAUUUCUACAAUUCUUAUACAAUUACCAAAUGAACAAACCAUAGUUUAUAAAUAAGAUAUCACAAUAUCCUAAAACACUAUGUUAAUAAAUCAUGUAUCUCUGUAAUUUUUUUAUAAAUAAAUAUUUAAGAUUAUAAACUUUAACACACACAUAAUUCUAUGAAGAUUAACUAAUCAACAAUAGCCAUAAGUAGCAAUAACAAUAUAUUUUACUACACAUAUUUUUGAACUUCAACUCAACACUAUUUUAUAGUAUCAUUUUAGUACGUGUGCAUCAAAUUAUUUCCUCUAUCAUGAACAAGAAUAGGCCGACGCCUCUAUUGUGUACCCCAUUUUAUGAGGACAACAUUCUCAUCAAGCGUAAUCUUGUGGUGGCCACUUCCACUAUCCCAAGCCUUGUAGUUUGUAUGAAAUAUUAAAAUUCUUUCUAAAAAUAAAGAAUAUAAAAUUAUAAUUUUUUAAUAUAUAAAUCAUCUCCAUUUUUUAUGACCAACUAAAAUGAAAAAUGUGGCCCAUAAAAUGGAUAGAGAUGUUAGAGUGGGUAAAAGCCCUACAUUGGUUAGGGAAUGGACGGAUGGUUUUUGACUUGGGCAAUCCUCCCCUCAUGAACUAGCUUUUGGAGUUGAGUUAGACCCAAAUGUCAUAUCUUUACAAGAGAAAAUACCAUUUUGGCAGCCCCCAAAAAAGUCUAGUCUAUCUCGAACACCAUUUGUUUUUACGUCUAAUCUCACAAGUUAAGUCUCUAACUAAUAUUGAAUAGCACUUUAUCAUGCAAUCUUUAUUGGUACCAACUCAAGACAUGAUACUAGAGAUCCAGUCAAUUAUUGGCCUUUGUGUUAUAUUAUUUACGUACCAAAUUUUCAAUUGUGAAAUCCUUGGAAUUUUAAUGUUCAUAUUGAUUAAAAUAUGAGUUGUUAUCACAUUAUAUAGUGAUUAUAGCCUCUACAUCUUCUCUAAUAUAAUUAAAAUGUGUGACAAAUUUUUUAAAUUAAGAAACAAGUGGCCUUUACUUUUGAUAUAUAAAUUUUAAGAAAUACAGAAUGAAUUAGUUUCCAUCUUAACCAUUAUUCCAAUCAAAGGAUGAUUUGAGCAUAUGCUAAAUUCCACAUAUAGCUAAAUGGGAAUGAGAUCGAAGGAAUUUCAACAUUUGAAAAGUACACCCAAAAAAAUCCAGCCGUUAAUAUUUUCAUUCAACUUUUAGUCACUUGAUUUAGUGGUGACAUUUUUGUUCUUUCAUUGAAUUAUCUUAUGAUUCGAUUUAAUUAUUCAUUAGUGCAUACCAUACCAAAUCAAAAGUAGUUCGAUUUGAUUCGAUUAUAUAACAUGUAACUAUCACAUAGUUAUAUCAAAUUGAAUUAUUCGUUUCUUCCAUUUGUAGAUUACUUGUAUGCACCACUUUUCUUUUUUCUUUUUUUAAAUGUAAACAUUCCAAGUUACGUGGUUUCCAGUCUAAUUUGUGAGCCAAUAAAGAAAGAAAGUCGACAUGUUUGAUUUUUAUUUAUUUUUUUGGGCUCGUGUUAUUAUUAUUAUAAAACAUUAGAAUAGCUAAUCAGCUGGAAUGUGUCAAAUUAGCAGAUUCAGUUUAUUUAUUUAUUGGGUAGAAAAUAGGAGCUACUUACAAAAAGAAAAAAAAAAACUAAAAAAAAUACUCCAAAUAUCUGGUGUUUGUGGAUAUUGUUUGCCAAAUUUCUAGUUUUGAACUUUAAUUUGUAAGUAUUUAUUCUGAAUUUUUUAUUGCAUAAAGCUUGUAAGGUUGAAAGUGAAAGAACAUAAACGAUUACCGCCAAAGAUUGGUGGGCCGUAUAUAUCCUUUAUUUUUAAUUAAAUAUAUUAUUAAGGAAUAUAAUUUUAUAGAUAAACAAUAUGGAUAUGAUUUUAUUUGUUUUUUUUUCUCUCUUCUAAUUUCUAAAUGAGUUAAAUAAUAGAAUUCGUCUCAUAGAAUAUCAUGAAUAUACAAAUGAAAAGACAUUAAAAUAAUUUUUAAUUGAGUGAAUUGUAGAUCAUAAUCAACAUGAAAAGACAUCAAAAUAAUUCUUAGUUGAGUGAAUUGUAUAUCAUAAUCCAAUUUCCCCGAAGCUUCGUAGCCUGGUUGAUAUAUCACUACUUACUUAAAAUUACACUCAACCUGAAAUCAUUCACAAAUUCAACGUAAAUUCAAAUAACAGUUUAGAAUUAUUUUUUGAAAAAGUAUUUUCCAUAAUUUACUUCUUUGCUCUUGGAUAUACUAAAUGAAAUUAGAUUAAUUUAAAAUUAAAGUUUUAUUUGGAUAUGUAAUUUUUUAAGUAAUAUCUUUUCAUAAAUAUAUGAAAAUUAUCAAAAAAAAAAUUAUAAUUCUUACAAAAUUACCAAAUGAGCAAACCAUAGUUCAUAAAUAAAAAUACCAAAAUAUCCUCAAGCACUACAUUAAUAAAUCUCGUAUCUCUGUAUUUUCUAAUAAAUAAAUAUUUACGAUUACAAGCUUUAAAAUACACAAAAUUUUAUAAAGAUUAGCUAAUCAACAAUAAUAAUAACAAUAUAAUUCUUUCACAUGAUAUAACAAUUUCUUUCUUGUCAAAUAUGAGUAAAGAGAGUUAAUAUCUCAAAAGAUCAUUCAAUUUUAGAAAUUAAUUUAGUAAAGUCAUUAAACUUUUUAUUUUGUAUCAAUAAAAUCACUCAAGCUAAAUUUUUGUAUCAAUAAAAUCACUCAAUUAAAUUUAUCAUUACAAACCAAUUUAACAUGGCAAAAUAAUUAUUUUUUAUGGCUAAAUAAAGUAAUAACAAUAACUUAGUGAAUGCAGCCUCGUGAAGGUAUUGAAAUGGUUUUUUUGAAAAAUACUCUGUUUGCAGGGAUGAAGAAUAUCUAAAUCCAAUUAUAUGCUUGAUAAGAUACUAUAGUAAACAUGAUUAGAAGACGAAAUUAAGCAAUGAACAAGAAUCUCAAACUAGACCAAAGUAGUAGUAAGAAUUUUUAGUAGUGGAUAACUAAAUCUACAAAACUAAGGAAACUGCGCUAAAAAGACAAAAAUAAUAAAUUGAAACAUCCAACUCUAUUAUUUAUUAAAUAAUAUUUUGUAAUGUCAAUUUUUUUUUCAUUAAUUAAGUUUGCUGGUAAAAAUUUGUGAAUGAGUUUUCUUUAAUUUUAUUUAUUUAUGGGGUUCAUGUUUAUAUAUAUACUAGAUAAUGUGAAUAAUAUAAAUGGUAUGUUUUGGGGCUAAUAAUCGAGUUUUUGAAGCGAUUGUUUGCGUGGAUAAAUGAAUAAUUUUUUUAUUCACAAACCUGUACUUUCUUUGACGCUAUUUAAGGCAUAAUAAGACUACCCACAUACAACAAUUUUGAAAUAUUUUAUGUUGUCAAUUAUCAUGAUUUAUAGUAUUUUUACGAUAGAUUCACUUCAAGAAUCAUUGAAAUUUUUUGUAUUUUUUUCAAAACAUAUUUUAUAUUGUCAAUUAUCAUGAUUUAUAGUAUUUUUACGAUAGAUUCACUUCAAGAAUCAUUGAAAUUUUUUGUAUUUUUUUCAAAACAUAUUUUAUAUUGUCAAUUAUCAUGAUUUAUAGUAUUUUUACGCAAUUUUUAAAUAUAAAAAUAAAAUAACAAAUAAGACAAAUAAAUUAAAAUGGACCCAAUAUAUGUUAUUUUUGUUGUCUCAAUUUAUGUGACACAAAUGAAAUUUGGAGAGUGAUCCAAAUUUUCAUGUUUCUUUAUGAAAUGUUUUAAGUUAUUAAUUAUUGUGAUUUAUAAUAUUUUUAUGUAACUUUCAAAUAA